AAGUUUUGAAGUUGAAGAACUUCUUCAAACAACACAAAGUAGAAGAAAAAAGAAAGUGUUGAACAAGAGGAUUCAGUUUAUGCGUGAAAUCUAGGAUAGAGUCCUAACAACAAAGAAAAAAUUGAAGAAGGAUCGAGGGACGAGCAAGGAGAAAGGAAAUGAGGUUUUUAGGAACGAUGAAAGCAUUGCAAAUCUAUCGUUGUCGGACUCGGAUAUUAGCAAUAGAAGAAAAGUUAUUCUAAAGGAAGCACAGAAGACCUGGGAAGUGGGGGAAAUUUGGGUUUUAGUGUGCGAGGCGAUGAGGAGGUUGUAAUUGAUGAAAUAAUGAGGCUUGAGGGGCAAUAAUAAAAGGCUAUUGGAGGCAACUGAAGUAGUAAAAUCUAGAAAUCUGGUGAGUCGUUUGUUUGCUGGUUUUUGUCUGUUAAUUAACUUGAUAGGGACAAUAUGAAAAUAGUCUCUUGGAAUGUUAGAGGUUUAGGUUCGGAAGCCAAAAUAGAGUCUGUCGAAAGGAUAAUUCGAAUGACAAGGGCGAAUGUCUGCUUCCUUUAGGAAACUAAGUUAGAGAUGGUGUUCGUGGAUUUAGUUAGGAAAAUUUGGGGCGAUGAUAAUUUUGAAUUUAGAUUUGUUGUAGCAAUUGGGAGGUCGGGUGGGAUGGUAAUUGUGAGGGAUAAGGAUUACUUUAAGGCUAAUAAAGAGUAUCCACUUGGGACACAAUUGUAAAGAGAUUUAGGAAGAAAUUAUCGGGAUGAGAAUGUUGUACGCCUUCAUGGGUCGCAAGGAUUGUGUUGAUUAAUUUUGUUUUAUUUACCUUGUCGAAUUAUUUCAUUUAUAUAUUCCAAGCUCCAGUGACAAAGUAUAGAUGGCAAAAGGAAGAUGGCGAAGGUAAGUUGGAAUCAGAUAUGCAAGCUUGUACGGGUUCUCUUGAUUUUCAUUGUGUGGAUUUUGUCUAAGUUUUGUUUAGGUGUUAAAACUUUGAGUGUUCUAAAAUUUUCAAGUCUAAUUAACCCGCCUCUAAAUUGUGUUAAGAAGUAAUACAACUUUUGCUACUUUGAUAAUCACUUCUUUAGACGGAACAAAUUUUAGAUCCUCCUUAAUCAAAAAGCCCUUUUAAACACUAAUAAGUACCGUUAUUUUAUGAUAUUGAUUCUUUUUAAUAGUUGGUAUGUGGGUAAAACUUGUCUUCUUUCCAUUUUCAAGUUGUACUUUACUGUUUUAAAGAUAGAUUUAAAAGAAAAUCAAGUAAGCUGACAAUGAACUUUAAUUUUUUCUCAGUUUUUUAGACUAAAUAAAAUAAUGAAUCUGUGACUGUAAUAAAUUAUUAUCAUUAUUAUUGCAGUUAUUAUUUCAUAUUUAGUAACUUUCUAUUUCGAUUCUUCCUGUCAUAAUUAAAGACUCACCCGUUACAUUCACGAUAUCGCGGUGGCCAUUUACAAAGAGAUUGCAAAAACCCUUCAUUAAACCUUUUUUUUUUUAGGUAUAAAUAUUAGUACAUAACAUUCAACGAAAAAUGAUGAUGAUGAGAGGAAAAAAUAACAAUUUACUGCACAAAACGAGUGUGGUGGGUCCUUAGGUAGCAAUGGGAUGAACAACUGCGGUGUUGGCAUUAGGGGUGAGCAUUCGAUCGAAUCGAAUCGAAUCGAAUCAAAAAUUUUCGAGUUAAUCGAGUUUUCGAAUCUCAUUUUAUCAUCCUAACUUUAUUUGAAGUUUUCUCGAAUCGAGUCGAGUGAGAUGGAAUUCGAAUCGAAUCGAAUCGAAUAUAUUUGUUCGAGUUAAAUUUUAAAAAAUAAUUUUGGGUUCUUGUAACCAUUGUCACCCAUCGUAAUAAAAUUUGUCCACCUUAAUCAAAUUUUUUAUUAACUUUCGUCACCUCAUAAUUUAUUUAUUAAUUUUUUUUAUUUACUGGUUAGCUUCUUUGCUUGCUUAGUUGUUUCUCUUAUCUUCAAAUUCUUGUCACUAUGUAUUUUGGAAUAUCUAAAUAUAUUAAAUGUUAACAUAUGAUUUUCUAAUAAACUUAUUUUAAAAAUAAAAUGCGAUAUUGAUACCAAUAUAAAAUUUUAACACGAAUAUUUUGUGGCAUAAGUAAUAAUUCAAUUUUAAUAUAACUAUUCAAUAUGACUACACAAUUCAAUAAUAUAAAUANNNNNNNNNNNNNNNNNNNNNNNNNNNNNNNNNNNNNNNNNNNNNNNNNNNNNNNNNNNNNNNNNNNNNNNNNNNNNNNNNNNNNNNNNNNNNNNNNNNNNNNNNNNNNNNNNNNNNNNNNNNNNNNNNNNNNNNNNNNNNNNNNNNNNNNNNNNNNNNNNNNNNNNNNNNNNNNNNNNNNNNNNNNNNNNNNNNNNNNNNNNNNNNNNNNNUUAAAAAAAAUUGAAGGGUGGAGGGUUUGGGGUAAAUGAGAGGUGGGAUGGGAAGGGAAUAAAAGUUUUAGGGAAAAAAUGAGAGGGAGUAAAAAUUUUGGGAGAAAAUAAAAGGUUUUGAGGGUUUUUAGGAGUAAAAUUUUGAGAAAAAGUAAAUGGGAGAGUAAAUUUUUGGUGGGAAAUAGAUUUUGGGUAGAUUGGGGGGUUGGGAGGGGAGGGGAGGGGAGUAAAAGUUUUGGGGGAAAAGUGGGAAGGAGUAAAAGUUUUGAGAGAAAAGUAAAAAGGUUUGGGAGUUUAGGGUAAAAAUGUAAAUUAUUAUAGUUUGAUAUUCGAAUUAUUCGAGUUAUUCGAAUUCGAAAUCUCAACUCGAUUCGAACUCGAAAUUCGAAAAAAAAAUUCGAGUUGAUUCGAAUAAUUCGAUUAACUCGAAUAACUCGAUUCGUUUAACUCGAAAUUCGAAUUUUUUUUCGAUUUUUUCGAGUCGAAUCGAGUUUUGCUCACCCCUAGUUGGCAUAGGAAGAGAAGGCAAGAUAGUGUUGAAAAAGGGGCCAUGGACCGCGGCGGAGGAUUCGGUGUUGGUGGAGUAUGUGAGGAGUCGUGGUGAAGGGAAUUGGAAUGCUGUGCGAAAGAUCACAGGGUUGGCACGUUGUGGGAAGAGCUGCAGGCUUAGAUGGGCUAACCAUUUAAGACUAGACUUGAAGAAGGAAUCUUUUUCUCCUAAAGAAAAAAGGAUUAUUAUUGAGUUGCAUGCUAAAAUAGGAAAUAAAUGGACUCGUAUGUCUAGUCUAGUAGUCAUUAUUAUUUUUCUAAAAAUGGGUUAGCAUUUUUUAUAUUUAAUAUUUCAUAUUUGAUCUCGUUUUUGCUAUUCUUUGCUCAUUUUUAUUUUCUUUGUUGGUGAUGAACACUGGCUUCUUGUAUUAAGGUAGUGAUUUUGUUAAUAAUUUGGGCAGGAUGAAUGUGGCAAAUCCCCCAAAAUUCUUGAAAAAAUUCAAAACUUUUUUGAAAGUUUUAGUUAGCCUUUAAAUUUUUGAAAAUUUUUAUAAUGCUUUAUUAUUAUUAUUUUUUCAAAAAUUUAGAAAUAUUUUGAAUUUUUCUUUAAUCUUACAAAAUUUUCAAAAGCUGUAACUUGAUUUUUUCAUUUUUUGAAAAUCCCAUUCAACUCUUAAAGUUUUGAAUAUUUUAGUUAGGCUUCCAAAAUUUUAUGGCAAAAAACCGCAAUUGGAUUUGGAAAAUUCAUUUUCUUUCAAAUUUGUUCAUUUACUCUUUGGAACACAAGGGUGAAGAGGUGGCAACGCCAUGGCCUCCCACUUUACCCACCCGACGUCCAACCCCUCUAUCCCCAGCACCGCCAGCUCCACUCACAUCCGCCGUCACCUAUGCUCUUCACUCUCUCCACAUCCCUCACAGACCACCACCUGAAAACUUCCUUUACAAUCCUCAUUCAGCCUUAACAACGCUGCCUCCUCUCCCUAGCCCUUCCGCUUCAACACCACCCCAUAUCUCCCCACUUCACUCUCCCAUUAACCCACCUUCUUUCCCAACUCUCCCUCCCUUCGAUUAUCCCAACAUCACCACCGACGACGACUUCUUCCAUAGCAACAAGCGGUUCAAGCAUGACGGACUUCAGAGCAACAAUUACAAUAACAAUCAUCUUGAUGCUACCAACUCGAGCUUUACGUGGCCAAUGCAGCAAUAUUCGAAUCGAAUGACACUCGACCUUCCUUCAUCGUCGAGGACAGCAUUUAACCAUCAUCCUCAUCAGGAUUCUGGGUGUUUUUACCCGUUGAAAACGGAGCUCCGUUCGAAGCAAAUCAAGGACGAUGGGUUGUUGGAGAAUAUGCCGCAGGAAGCUCAGGCGCUGGCCGCCAAUCACCGUGGUGGCAACAAAGAAAUGCCGAAAGAGAUGAUGAACGCUGCACAAAAUGAAGAAGAAGACUAUUCGAGGCUAAUCAACAUUGAUGGUCCUUUUUCCUUGGGCAUGGUGAUCCCCGAAUGGCUCAACGACAGUGGCGAAAGCUCCGAGCGGCAACCCUCGGUUAUAACAGAUAAUGAAAAUCAUUUAGCCCUUGAUAUGCAUCAGAUAGCUUCACUGUACCCUGCUGAUAUUUCGCCCAACCAUGCUGCCAGGUCUUCCAGCGUCCGAUCUUGGGACAACUUUCCGGUACUACAACAAUAAACUUUCCGGUAUUUUUUAUAUUGGUGUUUUAGAUUGUAAGUUGUUCUCUUUAUAAAUAUCAUAAAUUAAUAAUAAAAUUAGGAAAGAUGGUUAUAGCAUAUGAUGUUUGGUAUAAUUGCAAUACAUUGUGUUGAGUUCAGAGUAUGCAUUUUCUUUUAUAAUAUUCUUGUAUGCAUCAGGUCAAUAUGCUUUGAUUUUAUUUUAUUAUUUUGUUUUCCUUUAACAAAACUCUUCCUUUCAUGGCAUAGAAUAGAGUUUAUACCCUCCUCAAUCAAAAACCCCUUUUAACAUUAAUAAGUAUUGUCAUCUUAUGAUUUUAAUUCUUUGGAAUAGUUGGUAUUUACCUUUUUAUUAGGGUAAAACGUGUCUCUUUUUAUUAUCAAGUUGUACUUUACUAUUUUAAAGAUAAAUUUAAAAGAAAAAAAAAGUAAUCUGACAUUUUCUAUCUGUCUUUCAGGCCAAAUAAAAUAAUUAAUGUGUGACUUUCAUAAAUUACUAUCAUUAUUAUUGCAUUUUUUAUUUCAUAUUUGUUAACUUUUUUUUUGUUUCGAUUCUUUCUAUCAUAAUUAAAGACGUAUCUGUUACAUUCGCAAUAUCGCAGUGACCAUUCACAAAAAACUUUCAAAAACUCUUCAUUAAACCCUUUUCUUUUGACGUAUAGAUGUUAGUACAUAACAUUCAAAGGGAAAUGAUGAUGAUGGGAAGGAACAACCAAUUUACUGCACAAAAUGAGCGCGGCAGGUUUUUAGGUAGCAAUUGGAUGAACAACUGUGGUGUUGGCAUCGAAAGAGAAGGCGAGGGCCGUGGAAUGUAUGUUGUAUGUCUGGUUGUAGAAAACUUAAUGUACAAUUAUAACACAAUAAUUUUAAGAUAUACCAAAAAAAUGUUGUAAUGAACAUAAUAUAACACUUAAUUUAAUCAUGCAUGACAUGUUUAAUAUUUGUCAAAAUUUUGAUAUGUAUAACAAUUUAUGUUGCGAAUAGUUUUGGUAGGUGUUAUAGGACUUUGAGUGUUCAUUUUCACCAAAAGUAUGUAAGCUUGAAUGGGUUCUCUAGAUUUCCAUUGUGUGUGGCUUUUGGCUAAGUUUUGUUAAGGUGUUAGAACUUUGAAUGUUCUAAAAUCUUUGAAAAUUCUCAUUAAUCUUACCAAAAUAAACUUAUCUUUCCAAAUCAAAUUAAACCGACUAUUAAGGUCUAACAUUGAAUUUCACAUCUAAAAGUAAUACACAAUUUUCUACUUUGUUGAUGUCUUCUUGUUUUAGACCUUCCUUAUAAAUAAAAAAAAAACCCUUUUAAACAGUAAUAAAUAUUGUUAUUUUAUGAUUUUUAUUCUUUUUAAUAGUUGGUACUUAUUGUAUUUGAUUUGUUUCUAAUUGCAAUUCAGUAUUUGGGGAAAACCUGUCCUCAUUUCAUUGUAAGUAAUCUGAUAGUGAACUUUAAUUUUUCUCUCUGUCUUCUAGACCAAAUAAAAUAAUUAAUCUGCGGCUGUCAUAAAUGAUUAUCAUUAUUAUUGCAUUUAUUAUUUUAUAUUUAGUAACUUUUUGUUUCGAUUCUUUUUGUCAUAAUUAAAGUCACAUCCAUUGUAUUCGCAAUAUCGCGACGACCAUUUACAAAGACCUUGCAAAAACCCUGUUCUUUUUAGGUAUAGAUAUUAGCACAUAACGUUUAAAGGAAAAUGAUGAUGAUGGGAGGGAACAACCAAUUUACUACACAGAACGAGGGUGGUGGGUCCUUAGGUAGCAAUGGGAUGAAUAAUGGCGGUGUUGGCAUUGGAAGAGAAGGUGAGAUAGUGUUGGAAAAGGGGUCGUGGACGGUGGGGGAGUAUGCAAUGUUGGCGGAGUAUGUGAGGAGUCAUGGUGAAGGGAACUUGAAUGUUGUGCAAAAGAACACGGGGUUGACACAUUGCGGGAAGAGUUGUAGGCUUAGAUGGACCAACCAUUUAUUGUUUGUUAAAGAUUCACUCUUUCAAAUGUUAGUUUUUAAAAUAGAUUCAUAAAUUUUGUUUUAAAUGUCCCUGGGAUGCUGUAGACUUGUAGAAUUUUCCAUCAAAGUUUUAUUUUCCUUGAGAAUAUUAUUGAUUAAGAUAAAUUAUGGUAAACUUUGAUAACCAAUUCAUACUUCUUUUAGUGCAUAGGUAAUGGUGUUUAAGGAAAAUGAUAAUGAAGCAUGGUGGCUUGAGGUGUUUGACGAGACCGAGAGUGAGGAUUAGCUUUGAUUUAUGCUAAUUUCUGGCCUCCGUUUCUUAUUUUUGCAGGUACAAUUUUAUAGAUUGAGGAUGGUGGCAAGGGUGCUAGUUUAUACGAGCAAACUACUAGGGUACUGUGUUGGCACCCUUUGCGUGGCUAAGGAUAGCAACUUGCCCCCAACACAGUUAAGGAAUCCUAAAAUUUAGUAAAAUGGACCAUUUUGUAACAUUUAAAAAACUAUAGGUCACUGUUUGUAAUUUCUUUUGUAUUUUUGUACUUUUUAAAAAAAUUAUUCGUAGAAAAUAUAUGAAAUAGUUGUUUUGAUAUAUACAAAGUUAAAACUCAAUAGGCCGAAGCACAAAAUUCAUUAAAAAUAAAAAAAAUUAUCCGAAUAAAAAAAGAAGUACAAAUAGACCCAAAUCAAAUUUAGCUAACUCCAAUUAAGUCGAAGUUAAGUCCAAUUAGAAUUUAUUAUGCACAUUCAAAAAAUUCAACUUGAAUAAGCAUUAAUCAAAAUUAACUCAAAAUUAUUUCUUAAAUGAGAAUUAAAACUGUGUCAAUUUAGAUUCAUACAAAAUAUUAAUUUAAAUUCGGAUAAAAUUUAGUGUCUACAUUGUCAUAAAAAAAAAGUUAUUGUAACAAUUUUUUUCGUCACAAUUUUACUUUUAGAGUCAAAAUAUGUGUCACAAUAGAAAGAACUAUUAUGAUAAUUUAAUUGUCAUAGUUGCUUAUGUUAUUAAUGUCGAAAAUCUAGUCACAAACAAAUUAAAUAAUUGUGACCAUUUAUUUCUUUAUUUUACAAUUGCUUAUAGUUUUGGUGCCGGCAAUUUGUUCAAAAAAAAGAUUGAAUACUUAUUAUCAUUUAUUUUUGUCACAAUUACUAAUAAAUUUAGUGCGGACAAUUUGGUUAAAAAAAUUAAAAACCUAUGCUUAUUUAUUUUUUGGGUAAUCUACAAAAAUAGUCAUUUUGUUUGCCUUAAGUUACAUUUUAGUCACUUAUGUUUGAAAUGUUACGUUUUAGUCACUUAUGUUAUUAUUUUGUUACGAAGUGAUCACUCUACCGUUAAGUUCCGUAUUCUCUCUAACGGCAAUCCUGUGUGGUAGUCCAACUAGAUUUUAAGUGCCAACUUGGAUUAAUUCUAAAUGGGAUGAAAAUAGAUUUUAACCAAAAUUAGAGAUAUUGGGUGUAAUUUAACCAAAAUUAGAGAGGCUCUGUUUUCUUUGUUUCCUUCAUUCAUUCAUUCCCUCCCUUUCUGUUUUUAGCAGUCAAAAAUUUCAAAGGAAAAAUUAACAUCAUUUGGUAUUGAUCUAACCUUCAAAAAAAGAAAAAUAGAAAAUGCCUUCAACACCCAAAAAGCGUCCAAAAUCCAAGCAUAAUUCAUAUUCAAAAAAUUCUUCACUGAACUCCAUACUCGAACCACCCCAAAGCUUAUUCCCUUCAAAAGGCGAGUUCUUGCGUCUCAUUAACGUACUUGCAAUCGCAUCCGCUGUAGCUCUCUCCUGUAAUUACUUCCUUACCUUCUUUACCUCCACCUCUAAACCCUUUUGUGAUAGUAACUUAGACCCCAUCGAUUCAUUCUCAGGUAUAAUUCUUUUAUCCCUCCUUCUUUUCUGGGUGUUUCUUUGUUUUUGUUUAACUUUUCUUUCUGGGCAUCUUUUAUUAUGAUUUUGAAUUCAUUCUGUUUGUUUAAUUUGAGUUUUGUUUGUAGUUUUAGCUAUGGGAGCUUUUUAUCCGGUUUAUUGGUUGAUAUGAAUUUGUGGGUAACUUGAGAUUUUCAAGUUUUUUUGCUCAUAACGUGUCAAUCAAUGUUUGGGUAUCUCAUGAUAUUCAAUUUCAUAUAAUAUCACAUGUACAAUACAGGAUAUUAUGUAUCCUAGAAACUGUACAUUACUGAUGUCUAUUGUUCUAAAUAUGUAUAUGUUUCAGGUUCGAGAAAAUGAUAUUUGGAAUGAUUUAGACAGACACAACUUGAUGCAAAAUGUUGGUUCAGAUAUACCACAUAUGUGUAUAUGAAAAGAAGGGCAAUGGAGACAAGAACAAAUCUACAUGGGUAUGCUUAUCAACGUCUAUUUUUAUGUUUCGGUAUUUCAAGAUAUUUAAUUUACAUUUCUCUUGUUUUCUUUUUACAGGUUACAGGAAUUCAAGUGUCCAGUUGCUCUGGCAGAGCAUUACAAAACUUUGACCUGUCGUUUUCGUGAAUUGGUCUCCCAGCAGUCUAUUUUUAUCAUGCCUAUUUGUGCCGGGGUAGUCCCUUCUAAGAGCUAUUAUUUGAAUGCUUUAGUUAUAGUAUCAAAAUUUUGAAAGUUGUUAAAGAUAUUUAGCUUUAUAGCUUAUAGGGUGUGCAGUAUUGUUCUUGAAAGUCCGUCAAAGAAUGUAUAUUUCGGCUAGAGCAGAGGAGCUUUACAAUCAGGUGCACAAAUUUUUUUAUGUACAGUUAUAGUCAAUUAACGGUUUAUUUUCUGUACAUGCUGCAUGUCAGACUAUUUUGAAAUUGUUUGUGAAGAUGUAUUUUAUUUUGCGUCGGUAGACAUCCCAUAAAAUGCAGCCAGAAACAUGUAGAGCUAUACUUUGAAUCUAUACUUUGCUUGCUCAACUUUGCUUGCUCAGAAGACAACAAUGGCGGUAAGACUAUUCCUUGCAUCUAUUCUUUGAAUGUAGAGCUAGGAGCUAAACCAAGACACUAAAUGUCUCAUGGUAUAACCUUGGCGUUAGCGCAGGCUUUGCAUCAUUUGAGGCAGAUUUCUCAGGAAAUAUCUCAGCCGAAUGUUACUGUUUGGGGGAGAAGACCUGCAGCUCUGCGUGCACUUAGUCACAAAUUGAGCAAGUAUGUUCAUUCUUCUUUUCAGUAAUUCACCAUCUAUGUCAGUGUAGGUAGAUUCUUGACCGAUGGCAGUAACAUAUUCUAUUCUCCAGGGGAUUUAAUGAGGCUGUUAAUGGGUUUACUGAUGAAGGAUGGUCGAUGCUGCAAAAUGACGACGUUGAUGAUGUUACCCUUCUUGUGAACUCGUCUCUUGGAAAGAUGAUGGACAUAAAUUUUUCUUAUAGUAAUGGAUUUCCUUCAAUGGGAAAUGCGGUUCUAUGUGCCAAAGCAUCCAUGUUAUUGCAGGUCAGUUUCUAGAUGUGUUACAAGCAUAUGAAUUACAUCAGAAGAUUUACAAAUACUAAACAAUGAAAAACUAUUUUUUCUUCCCAAUGUUGUGACGAUGGCCUCGAUAUUAAAUUUGUGGUAUAAUGAACCAUCAUAUAGCUUUCUCAGCUUUUAUUCGUGUGUCAAACAAAAUUUUAUUUUUAUAAACCGAUGCUUCUAUUCUUUUUAUAGAAUGUGCCGCCAGCAAUACUUCUCAGAUUCUUACAGAAACAUCGAUCAGAGUGGGCAGAUAGUGGUAUUGAUGCUUACUCUGCUGCUAUUAAAGCUGAACCGUGUAGCUUGCCAGUGCCUCGAGGGGGAAGUUUUGGGGGUCAAGUCAUUUUUCCAUAAAAUGUAUCCUAGGUCGUGUCUCUAAUGAUUUGCUGCUUUGGAAUGUGAUUUUGAUACAAAAGUCUUUCCAUGACUUAAGUUGUUAUACACUUGCAUACUAAUAUACUUUUUAUCAAAUGAUUAUUAUUUUAAUAAUAAUGCCCCUGCAACUAUCUUGUAAAUGCCAAAUACACGCACAAAUUCAGGUUCUAUGUUUCAACAAUUAAAACUCCACAUGGUUGCGAGGGCAAGUAAACGGAUGCUUACCUGCAAUCCAGUAACUAAAACAACAGGCUUCAAAGUAAUUGUCUAAUAGGUGAAUAUAUAAUAUGUCCAAUAGCCAUUUCUCAAGUAAUUGUUCAAUAGUUUAACAUUUCAAAAAAAAAAUUGUUUCAAACCCUCAAUUAAGAUAAAAUGUAUUGUUAACAUGAUUCAACAACCCUUCUAAAAGGAUAUAUUCUUUGUUCACAAAAUAGAUUUCCUUUUGAAAGGUAAUUUGGCCCUAAAAUUUGCUCUCAGGUUUGAGCUUUGUUGGGUUAAGGGUGGUUGGCUUGAUGUGUUAUCCAUUGAAGUGGCUUGGUUCAAAUUUUGCAGGCUCGUUGAUUGGCUUGCCAUUUGGUUACCCCCAACAAUCCCUUUGCAAGUCCUUGUAUUAUGGCCUAGUUUGCCACUUUUGCUGCAAUUAGCUUUCUGUCCUGUCUUGCUUAAUUUUGAUCCACUCUUUAUUACUUCAUCUAUUUCCUUCCUCCUUGUUUGUUUGGGUCUUUCUGGGGGCCUUCUAAUUAUGGGAGGAAGAAUGGGUUCCAUGUCCCUUACAUGUUCCCAUUGCAUAGGACCUAUACACAAAAAUUUAAAGAUGUUAAACACAUUUUAUAAAUAAGUAAUAUUUCAUAAAGUUUUAGGUUUUUAGGGCUAUUACCUUUUACAGGGUUAAUCAAGUGGCUGUAAAUAUUCAACUGGGUAGUGACAGUAUAACAUGUAUUUACAUAAGUUUCAGGGCUCACAGCAAGUAAUUGCAUGCAAGAAACAACAUGCUUACAUGGGAUUCCUGACAAAUCCCAUUUUCUACAUGAACAGGAGUAGUUGAGGAGGUCAACCACAUACUUGUUGCCUAAUCCACAGUCUACCUCGUACUUCUCAUUUCCAGCAUAUAUCAGCCAUAUACUAUAAACAAAGUAACAUUUUAAAGUUAAAAAUUUUUCCAUCCAAGCAAAAAAAUUCAAGCUAAGUAAAAAAGAGUUAGCAAAACUUACUUAUUGGACUGACUAACAAUUUCAGACAACUUCUUCUGUAUCCUUGGACAUAAAGGUCUAGGAUACUUCUCAGUAGCCUCUCUCAUAGAAACCAAACUAGUCAUGACUUUUCUUCUAAUUAUUUCUAACAUCGUUAGGAUAGGUUUAUCUCUAGCUUCUAAAAUGAUCUGCAAGGAGAGUAAGUCUUUAAAUAACUCAAACAACAAUUAUACAACAUGAAGUGAUAAAUAGUCAGAUUUAAAAAAUAAUUUUUAACCUUGUUGAAACAUUCACUGUUGUUGUUCAGUAGUAGAUCAGAUUUGCAUCUGGUUGAGAAGUGGGCUCUUGACCAAGUUCUUGGAUCCUUGUCACGCAGCCAAGCCUCAGCAGAUUCUGACAGUGACCUCAUUUCAAACAUUGUUUCUUCAAAUUGUCUUGGAAAAGUUGCUUUAGCAGCUUUCCAGUAAGUAAGGCGCAUAACUUGGCCUCUAAAUCCUUCUAUAUUUUUAAAAUUAUUGUAAAGAUGUCUGGCACAAUUUCUUGCUUUAGCAUUAGGGAACAACAAAGAAAUCGCUUCUAUUAAGCCCUGUAAAACAAUUAAAACAACAUGCUAAGCAAUCAUUUUUAUAUAAACAAUUUAGCAUAUACCAUGACUUUAUAGUACCUUUUGUUUGUCAAACAUGAAACAUAUAUUGUAGGAGUUGUCGAUCUCUAAAUCUCUCUGUAACAACUCGAGGAACCAAAACCAUGAUUGUUUGUUUUCACUCUCAACUACAGCAAAAGCCACUGGAUAUAUACAAUCAUUGGCAUUAACCCCAACAGCAGCAAGCAAAUGUCCACCAUAAUAUCCCUUCAGCCAACACCCAUCUAACCCUAAAAUUCUCCUACAACCAGUUAACCAACCUGAUUUGCAUGCUUCAAGGCAUACAUAAAGCCUCUGAAAUAGCCUACAGUCUAAUUUACAGAUGGUUGUUGUACCAGGGUUGCUUCUCCUUAACUCAAGUAAAUAAUCAUAUAUAUUGGCAUAUUGAGCUUUGUGAUUCCCUUGAACUAGUUCUAGAGCCCUAAUCUUAGCCCUCAUACAUUUAGUCCGAGACACUAUUGUUCCAAAAUCCACCCUAAUAUCAUUUUGUAAGGAUGUUAAGGAAUAAUUGGGAUCAACUUGAAAUUUGUGUAAAUAAUGUCUAGCCAUCCACUUUGAAGUAAUAUUCUUAUUUUUCAUUACCUUGCUACACUUAUGGUGGUUGACUAAGGUCUUAAUUUGCCAACUCCCAUCCAUUGGAUCCUUGGGAUUUAACUUGGAUGCCCAUAACGUCCAUGGACAACUAGGUGCACAGACUGCUUUCACCCUAAGCUUGUCAUUCCUAGUUAGUUUGGUUACUACCCUAUUUAUCCUCCCAUACUGUUUAACUGCAUCUUUUAAAAUGUCUCUACUAGGGAAAACCAAACCCUUUAUCAAUAUAGGGUUCCUCAUAUCAGUUUGAGGAUUGAAUAGAGGGUACUUUUUAUUCCCAUAUUUAUCAUAAUCCAUGUCAUUAUUCAAAUCAUGAUCACUGCUACUAUCAAAAUCAUCUUCUAAACUCCAAAAACUUGAAUCUAGUAAGUGGUCUAACUCCUUCUGUAUCAUUUCACCUACUAGUUCAACCUCUGGUUCAUCUACCCUAUCACCAUCAGACUCAAAAGAAUCAGAAUAAGAAGUACCUGACUCAUAAGCUUUAUAUGAACUAUCAUCUAAGUCAGACGCUUCUCCUUCAAAAUCUCCCCCUAAAGUAUUUUGUUCAACUUCAAACCCUAAACCAAAAAAGAAAAAUAAAACAUUAUAUUAGUAUCAACAAAUUGCACAAUUCAAACCUGAAAAAAAUUAUCUCAAAUUCAGUUCAAUUUCAAACAACAUCAGUAAUGAAUUUAUGAACAUUUUAGGACAUUCGGACAGCAGUCAAUAUUCAAAUUUGGACAACAUUAAAAUACAUAAUCUAAAACAUGAAAACAGUAAUCAUUAUUCACAUAUUGACACCUGAGUUAAAAUGAAAAAUUGAACAUAUACAUUUGCAUCAAACUACACCUGAGUUAAAAUUAAAGUAUAUGUUUUGGGAGACAGCAACAUAAUUAUUUUUUGUUCUUAUUUGAUAGAUUUACAAUUGUUUUUGGUUUAUUAAGUGAAAUUUUGCUUCAUUCUUAUUUGAUAGAUUUACAAUUAUUUUUGGUUUUGUUCAGUAGACAGGUCGAAGAAACAAAAAUACUCCCUUACUGUUUACCAUUUCUUAUUUCCACUAAAAAUAUAUUGAGAGUAUAUGUUCAUGCUUGGGCUAUCUAAGUUAUUUAGUGGUUGCCAGUUAGGGCAAAUAAUAGAUGUUAGCAUGUAAAUGUUGCAGUUCUCAGUUAUGCCCCACAUUCGGUGUUGCUGAUCGGAGUUGUUACGUUGGCUGAACGUAUAGGUUUCAUGCCUCUUCCCAAACUGAAAUGUCUUACCACUAGCCCUGUAAGCCCAAUUGAACUCCUCAAAUUCUCAUAUCCUUCACAUUCCAUAACCUAUAACUCAAAUUUGUUUCAGCCGCUCUACUUGGUUUUGGUGAAUGAAUAGGUAUUCUACACUCCAUUUUUGAGGCAUAUGUGGACAUGGUUGGGUGCCUCACCAGCCACAAGAAAGAACUUUUGUUCCCUGCUGGAAGCUGGUUAUAGUUGUAUCGUAGUGUCUGGUGGAGUGCAAGAGACAUUUCUCAUGCAGCAUGAUUCUGAGGUUUCAUUCUUCUACCACUCCUGUAUUCUUAUUUUUCUUCUUUGCUAAUUAGGUUGUGUGAAGCCCUUCUGACAUAACCUGUUUAUCAUACCCUAUUUUCUCUAACGCCCAAAACUUACAAUGGGUUUUAUUAUUGGAUCUUGAUCAUCUUCUUUAUCUCUUUAUGUUGGCAACUAAAAAAUUCUGGGUUUAUUUCUGGACUUACAGGUUGCAUUCCUUAAGUUACGAAGAGGAUUUAUUCGUAUAGCAAGGUAAUUCAGCUCAAAAUUAGCAGUAAGAAAGAAUAAUAUGGAAUACCCACAAAGAGAUUGUGAACAUACAAGUUGAUUCAGAUUAGAAAAAUUUGAUUGAGCAACCAAUUUUUCAAGAACUGUGAAAAAAAACUAGAAAAUAUAAUGAUUAGGAACAAGAAAAAUUUCAAAAAUUUGAAGAAAAUAUCAAGAAUUUUAAUUUAGGGUUUUUAUUAAACAAUAAAAAAUUCAAUCUUUUGUUUUUCAGUAUUGAAUAAAAGAGACAGAGGAAUGCAAAGAAUACAUACCUGGAGUCUCCAUUGAAUCCAUCUUUAUGAAGUAGUCAAUUUGAUUUCAACUAUUUUGAUCUUAAUAAUAGUUUUUCUAGUCAAAUGAAAAAAGAAAACCUAAAAAAAGAAGAGACGAAGAAAAAUUAAAAAGAGGAGAUGAACAGUUUUUGCAAUUAAGGUUUAGGUUUAAAAAUUUUAAUUAAUUAAAUUUAUUUAAUUUAUAAUCUAUUUUCAUCCCAUUUAGAAAUCCAAGUUGGCACUUAAAAUCUAGUUGGACUGCCACAUAGGAUUGCUGUUAGAGAGAUAACAGAACUUAACGGUAGAGUGAUCACUUCGUAACAAAAUAAUAACAUAAGUGACUAAAAUGUAACAUUUCAAACAUAAGUGACUAAAAUGUAACUUAAGGCAAACAAAAGUGACUAUUUUUGUAGAUUACCCUUAUUUUUUUGUCACAAUUACUUACAAGUUUAGUGCGGAAACUUUUGUCACAAAAAAUUGAAUAACUGUGACAGUUUUGUAAAAGUUGUUGCAAAUACAAUAGUGUUGAAGGUAUUUGUAUUGACAAGUGACAGCUUUAAAUCUAGUCACUAUAAAUUAUAAUGGCUAAAUUUAGUUUUAGUUACCUUUUUUGUCUCCUCUAAAAUGUUAUUUAUUGUAAGACUUAAAUCAUUGAUUGUACUCUGAUAAAGAUAGUGGAUCAUUGAUCUAGGCAAUGCCCCAUAGAUGUAGACUGAGGUCAAAUUAUAUAAAUAAUCUUGGUGUUCAUCUUUAAAGCUUUCACACUUUUGAUUUCAUGAUCGAAACUAUGGCCACAGUUCCAAGUACUAUUUUAGCCACAAUUUCCUUUUUGCAAAGCAAGUAUCCCUAUCAUUUCUACAACAUGUACUAAAAUUGGUAAAUUUUAUUAUCAUAGAUAACACAAAAAGGACAUGGUUUUAGGAAAUUUUAAAACUCCAUCAUGCAAACAAAAUAGUUUUCUAAACCAAUUUUCCAACACUACGAGAAGAGGGAGAGGAAGCACUUGUUUUUCUAGAGAAGCAACUUCUUAACAAUGCCCAUAUUUGAGUCUCCAAUCUAUACUCUCCAAAACAUCUCAAAAGUGGGGCAAACCUAAGAAUCCUACCAACCUUCCUAGGCUUAGCCUAUUCCUAAUAUGGAAUUUGUUCCCAAAAUUACCUCCAAACUUUCCAAAUACGAAGGUUGUUUCCAAAUUAGCCUUAGAAUGUUGUGCUUAAGAAACCCUUCUGCUAGAAAUGCAACUAUCUUGUCGUACUUUAGCUAGGAUAAUUUGUAACAAAAAACAAGUUUCUAUAUUUUCUCUUCAAUUGUUUUGAUUUUUGUUAAUUAUUUUAUUUAGUCUUGUGCUUAUAUAAUCUGCUUAUUUGAUAAACACAUUAUAUUUAUUUGAUGACCUUAAUUUUUUUUUGAAGAGAAGGUUAGAGUUGAGAUCUAGACUGAAUAGACUAGGAUUAACUCUAAUAGAGCUAACGAAUGAGUUAAUUUGUGGUUAGGAUAGUAAUUUACUUGAUGCCUUAAUCACCUACUCACCUUUGAAAAAUGUUACUUUAAUCAUUCUAGCCUUUAUGCUCAAUUCAAUAUUUAUCAGUUCCACAACUACUUCUUCUUCUGCUCCAACUACUUAAGUUAGUGUAUCCUUAACAAUUGGUGUUUAUCUUAUAUGUAUCAUUAACAAUUGGUGCUUAUUUAGUUACGUUGGAAAUUACAGUCCAAGUAUGCUUCUAAAGUUUAUAAUGAUUUACUUCUUAAGUUGACAUAAUUUCUUUUGUAAUUGUAACACUAUUAAUUCGGUCCGAUCACCGGACUUAAGUUACAAGGUGCUACAACAACUAUCGAAACUUAUACACAUGCAUACACAGUUUCAAAUAAAAGCAAUAGGUACCACUAUCAACUUUUAGAGAUGUAAUCAUGACUAAUUAAACAUUUAAAUAAAUAUUAGAAAUAGAAUUAUUCAAGAAAUAAGGACCCUUUAGAAAAUAAAUCUACUGUGAGUAUCGAUACUUUUACCUAGAAUGCUAAAAUUUCACAAGUUAAAAUGCUUUCCAUGCUCAAAACAUAUUCCUACUCAACAUACGAUUAGUGUCUAACUCAACUAAACCUACUAACAUCGUUUAACCAUUUGUCAUGCCAUAUUAAUACAUUUUCAUUGAGAAUACCUAACAUGCAUUAUCAACCUCAAUCUCAAACAUAAAAAUGUCCAUAAGCGAAGUCCAAUAUCAAAAUAAUAAUAAAAUAAUGAUAAUAACUAUAACUAUAACUCUAACCCACAUUGCAUGUAUUCAAAGUGUCCAAAAAUUAUAAAUACACCUACUCGAAGGUUAUUGCCUUGCUUAGAUCACUUUCUUUUUCAUUCCAUUCACACCAAAAGAACUACUUAUCUGCAAGAUUUUAAUGUGGAGUGUGUAAGCUUAAAUAAGCUCAGUGAAUGUCCAGAAUUACAACAAAGUAUACACAAUAUCAUAAGUUAAGCAAGAGCAUACUAAGGCAUAUUCACAACCAUAUUUUCAACAAGUUAAAAUAACAUAGUCAUGCUUCAUUAUCUCACAUGUCUAGCUUAUGUACUCACAUGCAUUUACAUGCAACAUAUUUCAUAAAUAAAUCAUUUAAUGAUAAUUUGGCAACAUGAGAUCAUGUAACAUAAAAGUGUACUCUAUUAUCACACAUUGGAUAAACGGACCUCCAUUACACCAAUGACUCAAAGAGUCUAACAUGGCCCAUAAGUGUAGCAUAAUGCUAAACACUCUCCAACACACCAACAUGUCUUGAUGAAUGGGGCUUAGCUCGACAUUCCCUUAUCUCUCAACUUGUCUUGGGGCCUCAAUGCCCAAAUCACAAAACACAAAGGAGAGUACUCACAAUCCUAUGGCAUGCUAACUAUAUCCAAAGGUUUCAAGAGAUCACAAGGCCAAAAUAUCCAUAAUUACACAUAUUUAAUUACUUUUUUAAUGCACAUAAUCUAUGUUCAUAUUCAUUAAUUCACAUCACAAACUUAUACACAAUGCAUGCUUAUUAGAUUCACAUUUAAUUGCACUUCAAGUAGCACAAUAAUGCUCAUUGAGCUAUCAUUUAUCAGACCACAUAUGUGUGCAUUAAAAUCAAUAUAUCAUAUAUCAUAUUCAAGUAAUUUCAUAUAUUACUUGUUGCAAUAGCAUCACAUAUCACAACUUAUCUUACUUAGACAUAAUUUCACAACAAGGCAAAAAGUUAGAAAAGGAUUACACUCGGAACUUAGGAUAGGGGCUUAUACUAAUCCAAAGCUCCUGGUUAACACUACAAAUCACACAUACCAGCAGCGACUCUAGACACUCACCAAUCAUUCUUCCGCUUACUAGCCAAAAGCUCAAACAGGCUUUUCCUUACAUUUAAACUUUCUUGUAGUGACUUGAAUUGUGUUUUCCUUACAUUUACACAUAACAAACACAUUUCAAACUCAUCAAAAAUAGCCUUGAACACAACUAAACAACAAGAAAAACACAAUUCAAGCCUCUUCUUUCCCACUACCGAAAACUAGCUAGUUUUGCCGAAAUUGAAGUUUUGACAUUCUAAUCUCAUUUUUAAUCCUUGAUUUUGAUUUCAAACAUCUCAAAUAUCAUUUAAUUUCAUAUCUAAACCAUUAAUUUCAUCUAAAUCUAUGGUUCUAAAAUUUCUGAAAAAUUCAAGCUUUCAAGAACAUGUAAAAGGAAAAAAUGUUUGAUUCUUAAAUUUUGGUUAUGAACUAUCAAUUGAAGUGAAAUACCUUCUAAAUAGGUUAGGAUGAAUCAAAAAAUCACUUUAAAAACACGGGUUUACUCAAGAUUACGAGUUUUGUCAUUUUUGAAUCCAAACUUGCUUUAAAGAAAUCAAAUAUAAAUAAAUCUUCAUACAAUCAUUUAGAAAUCAAAUUGAAUUAACAACACUCUUUUUUAACCCUAAAAAUUCAGAAUAUUACCUUAACUUGAUGAAAACGACAAUCUACAACUCUAAUUUGAGAUUUGGACUCAAGAAGAACAAUGACGAAAUUGGGGAAGAAAAUGUUAUUUUCCUUUAAAAUUGAGGGCUAUUUUGGUGUUUGGGAGGUUAAUAAACCCAAAAGAAUGAGUUAAUUUUGAAAGAACUCUCUGAUUUUAGGUUUUGGGAAAUUUCUUAAUGAUUUGGGGUUUAAGAGAGGGAAGAAGACGUUGGUAUACUCCAUGUAGAAGACUAAAUUAAAAAAUUGGGCAAUUUUCUCUUUUGAUCACUCCCUGUUUCUUUCCUUUUUCGAUUAGGUCCUAACUCAAUUAAAAUCCAUUUUUUCAAGUUAGACCUGAAAAUUAAAUUUUGUUUUUAGCUAGUUAAUUAAAAAAAAACCCCAAUUAUUUUACUUUAAUACUUCAAUUACUUACUUACGACUCUAAUUUUUUAUGUUUAACAUAAACCCUUGAUUUAAUAACCCGAUUCUACUAACCCCGAAACUAUUAGGCCAAAUUUCGGGAUGUGACAUGUACCUAAAGUUUGAAGUCAAUUUUUUACCAAAUGGUCAUUUUAAAUUCUAAAUUGGCAAUGUAGUUUGAAUCUAAUUCAUAACUUAAUGAAUGCAUAUAUGAGAAUGGCAUAAGUAGUUGAAAUGGUUAAAUGGUUAGAAAUCUGGAAAUUGUCAUAUGUAUUAAAGUUGAGAUGAUGAUUUUAUGUAAUGUAUAUGUAUAUAAGAUACUAAAUGUUAGAAAUAAGCAUAUGAGACUGGUAUCUUUGCCGAAAUGGCUGAAUUAAGGUAAUGGAUUGUUUGUUUAAGUGUUAUGAAUUGGCACCAUUUGGAACUUUUAAAAAUAGACGGUCACGUCGCGAUGAGGAAAUCGAUAGUGAAUUGCGUCGAGACCUAGAACCCCCCAAAGUCGCGACGUCAAUCCGAUAGUUUAAAAUUUUUACAUUUUAGUCCUAAUUCUACCUCAGGCUACCAAAACGACUAUCGUGAGCUCGUAUAAGACCUAGAUAUGAUUGAAAAACAUGUCGUGAUUAUUUAAUGUAUUUAAUAGCAUGUGUAAAUGUUUAAAUUGAAUCGUAGUUGGUCGUAGUUGCUUUGGCAACAAAUGUAGCAUAUUGUAACUCGGAUUCGGCAAUCGAGUCGAGUAUGAGGUGUUACAGAAUUAAUCUCAAACAUCAUUUAAAGUACAUGAGAUAAAUCCGUAUUAAAAUCACAUUUUAUUAUUACCAUUAGACCUAUAGUUUGUUGGCAAUUCUUUACUUUUCUCUUCAUAAGGAAAGGAAAUAAUAGUUGAUUCUACUACAUUUUCAAACUUUAGAUUUAGCAUGGAUUUGAAAAUCUGAAAUUCAGGCUUAAAAGGAAAGGAUAAUACCAUAUUAGGUAGGACGAUUAUUUCUUUUCCACUUGUUUUGUCACGAGCUAACUAUAAACUAAUAAAAAGUAAUAAUUUUUAACCACUUAUAUGACUUGUUUGCGGCAAAUCUAAUUUCAAUUAUAAAUUUGUAUUAAUUAUUUUUUAUUUAAAGUUUGUAGAGGAUAUGAUAAUAUAUAUUUUAUCAUGUUUUUAUUAUUUUAAAUUAUUAUAUAUUUCAAUACUUCAAUAAUUUAUAUUAAUUUUUUAAGGUAAAAUUCAUUUAAAUUAGAGGGAGCAAACAAAGACCAAAAAGAAAAGGGAUACUAAUCCCAAGUCGAUAGGCUUAUCUUAUACAUCAGAUCUUGUAUCCUAAUAAUUUAUGUUAAUUCAAAUUUCAAAAGUCCAUAUAUUGAUUGGUUAUUUUUCUAUAUCAUCAUAUAGGGAUGAGUAACAUUCGACUCGACUCGGCAAAAUAAAAAAUAAGUUCAAAUUUCAAACUAUUCAAAUUAAAUUAAUCGAGUUAAUUGAAUCAACUCGAAUAUUUUUUUAAAUUUCAAAUUUGAAUCGAGUUGAAUUUUCGAACUCGAAUAACUCAAAUAAUUCGAAUAAGCUAAAUAUCAAAUCCUUUUACUUCCCUUCCCUCCAAACCCCACCCCCCUCUCCAAACCCUUUUACUUUUCCCAAAAAAAUUUACUUUCCCUCAAACCCUCAAAACAUUUUUCCUAUUACUUUUCCUUAAAACUUUUACUUCUUCCAAACCCUAAAAACAUUUUUUCUUUUGCUUUUCCUCAAAACUUUUACUUCUCCAAACCUCAAAAACUUUUUUUUGAAUUUAUAUAUAUUAUUUAUAUUAUUAAAUUAAAUUUCACAUUUUGUACUGUUUAUAUUAUUGAAUGGUUUAAUCAUGUUGAACCUUUAUAAAUUUUUAUUAAAAUUGAAAUAUCAAUGAUGCCAUAAAAUAUUCGUGUUAAAAUUUUCUAUUGGUAUUAAUUUCACAUUUUAUCUUUAAAAUAAAUUUUAUUAAAAAAAAUCACAUUUUUUACAUUUAACAUAUUUUUUAAUUUCAAAAUACACAGUGACAAGAAUCAGAAGAUAAUUGAAACUAAGCAAGCAAGUAAGCUAACCCAUAUAUAAAAGAUUAACAAAUAAAUUACAAGAGGAUGAAAGUUAAUAACAAAUUUGAUUACAGUGGGUGGCAGCGGCUACAAGGAACCAAAGUCAUUUUUUUAAAUUUAACUCAAACAAAUAUAUUCGAUUUGAAUUCCAUCUCACUCGACUCGAUUCGAGAAAAUUUUAAAUUGAGUUAGGAUAAUAAAAUAUGAUUCGUCAACUUGAUUAACUCGAAAUAUUUUCAUUCGAUUCGAUCGAACACUCACCCCAAACAUCCUAUACAUUUUUGAUUAUUUUUAAUUAUGUCAGAAAUUAUUAAAUCUAAAUUUAAGACUAAAGAUGGGGUAUAAAAUAUAAAUCUAACUGGCCUUACCUAACUUAUGUAGUUUAAUAAUUUUAGUGUUGGAUGCUGUAAUUUCAGGUACGCUAAUAGUGUAAUACUGUCAUCAUUUACCCAACCAGCAAAUGAAGCAAUAAGAACCAAGCUUUGCAAACAAAAAACAAUAAUAACAAAAUCAUAGAAAAAUAAAUAACCCAAAUGGACAAUAAUUCAACAAAUUAAAUUAAAUCCGCCUAUUAGGGUCUACCAUUGAAUUUCACCUCUAAAUUGUGUUAAUAAGUAAUACAACUUUCGCUACUUUGUCGAUCUCUUCUUUAGUGGGUCUUAAACUCUUCCUUUCAUGGUAUAGAGUUUAGACCCUUCUAAAUCAAAAACCCCUUUUAAAUACUAUUAAGUAUCGUUACCUUACAAUCUUGAUUCUUUGUAAUAGUUGGUAUUUAUCGUAUUUCAUUCGUUUCUUCUUUUCCAUUGUCAAGUUAUAUUUUACCAUUUUAAAGACAACUUUAAAAGAAAAUCAAGUCAUCUGAUAGUGAAUUUCGAUUUUUCUCACUGCCUUCUAGACCAAAUAAAAUAAUUAAUCCGCUAUUGUAUAAAUGAAUUAUUAUCAUUACAAUUGUAUUUAAUAUUUCAUAUUUGGUAAUUUUUGUUUUCAUUCUCUCUGUCGUAUUAAAGGCGCAGCCGUUACAUUCGUAAUAUCGCGACGGCCAUUUAUAAAGAGCUUGCAGAAACCCCUUCAUUAAACCCUUUUCUUUUUAGGUAUAUAUAUUAGCACAUAACAUUCGAAGGAAAAUGAUGAUGAUGAUGAUGAUGAGAGAGAACAACCAAUUUGCUGCACAAAAUGAGGGUGGUGGGUCCUUAGGUAACAAUGGGAGGAACAACGGCGGUGUUGGUGUUGGAAGAGAAGGCGAGAUAGUGUUGAAAAAGGGGCCAUGGACAGCGACGGAGGAUGCGGUGUUGGCGGGGUACGUGAGGAGGCAUGGUGAAGGGAAUUGGAAUGCUGUGCGAAAGAACACAGGGUUGGCACGUUGUGGGAAGAGUUGUAGGCUUAGAUGGGCUAACCAUUUAAGACCAAACUUGAAGAAGGGAUCUUUUUCUCCUGAAGAAGAAAGGAUUAUUAUUGAGUUGCAUGCUAAGAUGGGGAAUAGAUGGGCUCGUAUGGCUACUCAGGUAAUCAUUAUUAAUUUUCUAAAAAUUAGCUAGAAAUUUUUACAUUUAGUAUUUAAUAUUUGAUUUAGUUUUUCCUAUUCUUUGCCUCUUUUUAAUUUCUUUCUUGGUGAUGAGUUCUUGUAUUGAAUUGGAGAUUUUGUUAAUAAUCUGGGUGGGGUGGUAAAGCCUUCAAAUUUUUUGAAAAAAUUCAUUUUUCUUUUGAAAUUUUUUGAAAGCUUUAGUUAGACUUUAAAUUUUUGAAAAAUCUUAUUAUGCUUUUCAAUUUUUUUUUUAAAAAAAAUAGUUAAAUUAUUCUAAAAUUUUUGGAAAUUCUCAUUAAUUUUACAAAAAUUUUAAUUAGACUUUUCAUUUUUUUAAAAAUCCCAUUAAACUCUUAAAAUUUUUAAUUGGACUUCCAAAAUUCCAAAACUUUUCAUUUUAUGUUUUUCUAAGCUAGCUAGCUGUUUUAGAACACAUAAUUUUGAUACAAUAAUUUUGAUACAUACAAAAAACCAUUGUAAUCGACAUAAUAUAACACUUAAUUUAAUCAAGGCAUGCUUAAUAUUUGUCAAUUUUUUUAUAUGUAUAAUAACUUAGUUGCAAAUAGCUUUGCUCAAGUCUUAAGACUUUGAGUGUUCAAGUUCAUUUUCAUUAGAAGUAUUUAAACAUGUAUGGGUCAUCUUAAUUUUCAUUGUGUGUAGCUUUUGUCUAGUUUUUUAGUCUACGUCCGAAUGUAUUAUGAUUAUCAGUCAAUUUAUUUGUGCUUUAUGAUAGUUUGAUUCAGGUAGCCAAGGGUGAAAGCCUUACCGAAAGUCAUGCUUUUAGCACUUGAAAUUUAUAAAAUUUUAAGUUAAUAAAUAGAAAAAAUUAUAAUUUAGCUCUCGAAUAAUAAAAUUUUGUUUUAAGAAUAUAUAACUUGAUUUUGGUCUCUUAAAAAAAAUUUAAAACACCCCUACUAGUUGUAACUAUAUAAAUGUAUUGAUUGUAAUUACUGUUGAUUGUAGUUAUACAAAUAUAUUACUUGUAAUUAUACCUUCAAAUAAAUAAUUGAUGUUAAUUUAUAGUCAAACAACAUGUUAAGUAUCUCUAUUAGAGCUUGGUUUUCAAUUACCUGUGAUUGAUAACUCUAUUUUUGCCUACAUUGAGAAUGUAGCUUCCAGGAAGAACAGACAAUGAAAUCAAGAACUAUUGGAACACAAGGGUGAAGAGAAGGCAACGCCAAGGCCUCCCACUUUACCCACCCGACGUCCAACCCCAUUAUUCCGAGCACCAGCACCGCCAGCGCCACUCACAUCCGUCGUCACCCAUCCCUUCUCCUCCGCCAACCACCGAACCCAACUCCUGUUUCUCCUUCCAAACUCCCAUAGUGUCUCCCCACACCUCAAACCCCAUGCCUCUUCACCCUCUCCACAUCCCUCACAGACCACCACCUCAAAACUUCCUUUACAAUCCUCAUUCAGCCUUAACAACGCCGCCUCCGCCACUCCAAAGCCCGAAUUCAGCCUCAACGCCGGCGCCUCUCCCUAGCCCGAACGCUUCAACACCACCCCAUAUCUCCCCACUCUACUCUCCCCAUAACCCACCUCCUUUCCCAACUCUCCCUCUCUUCGAUUAUCCCAACAUCACCACUGACGACGACUUCUUCCAUAGCAACAAGCGGUUCAAGCAUGACGGACUUCAAAGCAACAACUACUAUAACAAUCAUCUUGAUGCUACCAGCUCGAGCUUUACGUUGCCGUUUUCACCAAUGCAGCACUAUUCGAAUGGAAUGACACUCGAUCUUCCUUCAUCAUCGAGGACAGCAUUUAACCAGGAUUCUGGGUGUUUUUACCCGCUGAAAACGGAUCUCCGUUCGAACCAAAUCAAUUACGAUGGGAUGUUGGAGAAUAUACUGCAGGAAGCUCGGGAGCUGGCCGCCAAUGGCCGCGGUGGCAACAAAGAAAUGCCGAAAGAGAUGAUGAACUCUGCACAAAAUGAAGAAGAAGACUAUUCGAGGCUAAUCAACAUUGAUGGUCUUUCUUCCUUGGGCAUGGCGAUCCCCGAAUGGUGCAACGACAGUGGCGAAAGCUCCGAGCGGCAACCCUCCGUAAUAACAGAUAAUGAAAAUCAUUUAGCCCUUGAUAUGCAUCAGAUAGCUUCAUUGUACCCUGCUGAUAUUUCGCCCAACCAUGCUGCCAGGUCUUCGAGCGUUCGAUCUUGGGACAAGUUUCCGGGAUUGUGCUAAUCCAUUUUCUCGGGAAAAUUUAAGUUUUCGGGUCUGAUGUUGAUCAUUCGGGUCAAUGUCGGUUAAAUAAAAAAACAUUAUAAUAAUAUGUUAUUGUUAAGUGAGGUUUCCAUUGUUUUGGGGGUUGGAUGAGUCAACCCGGCAUAAGUUUCGGGUCUCAAUGAAUGGAUCCGAUUGUCAGACGUUUCUGGUCCGUUGAACUACCUAUAGAUUCAAUGUUGUUGUUGCUUGUUGGAGUUAUGCUUGUUUGAUAUUUGCUAGUGACUUACUGUUGAAUUUGAUUGCUUUGAUUAGAGUUGUAAUUGUUAUCUCUUUAUUUUGCGUUUGUUUUUACCCCUUUGCUUAUAUUAGUAUAAAAUAGAGUUAUUAUUUAAGGCUUUCUUUGUUAAAGAGGAAAAAAUUUGGAAACUCGAAAGUUGGAGGGACGAAGAAUAUAAUUUUUCUUUUUAUAGGUGUGUUUUGUAGGAGAGAUGAAAACCCUCCAUUACUUGAUAGAGGUGAAAAAUGAAAAUAAAAUAUUUUAAAAAUACAUAAUUUUAAACUAACAUGCACAUCUCUCUUAUUUUCUCUCCCAUCAUUUUAGUUUGGAAUGAUAGAUUUUUACGUUGGGAUAGAAAAUUAUUGUCUCUCCUAUUUUCUUUACUCUCACUUUUCUUCCUAACCAAACACACACUAUUUUUUUUAUACUUUUCCUUUCCUUCCUCCUAUCCCUCCACUUUUUCACUCAAUCAAGCACUCAUGAUUAGAGGUGUUUAUGGAUCGGGCCGGGUUUGGGUUGGGCCCAACAAAAAGUUAUAUCUGAGUCCAGUUCGGCCCAAAAAACGGGCCUAAAAUUUUGGACAAACACGACUCGGAUAAAAAUGCUAAAACCUGAGUCCGGCGUAGCCCGCCCAUAUUAAUUUCUUUUAUAUUACUUUUUUAUAUAUUUUUUAAAAAAUAUAUAAUAUAAAAAUACUAAAAAUAUUAAAAUAAAUAUUCCCAUGAAAAUAAAUUUAAAAAAUAUAUAUGUAUACUUCAAUAACACUAAGAUAAACAUAAUUUAAUAAGCAAAUGUGAAAAAUAGUAACAAAAUUAACAAUAAAACAAAAAUUAUACAAUAUCCAAAUAAUAACAAUAAAAUAGUAGCAACGUAAUUACGAAAUGGUAGCAAAAUAAUGAAAAAAAAAACAAUAAGAAAAUGAGGGAAAAGCAAUAAAAAAUAGCAACAAAAAAAAUAGAAGGUUUUUUUUUCAUAUUCGGGCUAGGCUCGGGCCAAAAAAAAUAUUUUUACCCAAACCCUCCCAUUUUUUAGACGGGCCCACCCGACCCGGCUCAUGCGGUGGUUAUAUAGAUAAAAUAGAUUCACUACACCAAAACAGGGUUUUAGUGGCGUUUGGAUAAAAAACGCUGCUUAAGAUCAAGCAUUAGCGGCGCUUUACGGAAAACACCGCUAAAGAUCGAGAAUUAGCGGCGCUUUCCUGAAAUCGCCGCUAAAAAUGAGAAUUAGCGGCGUUUGUUUAAAAAGCGCCGCAAAAAUCCUAAAUCCAACGGCAUCGUUUUGUUAUCUUUCGUGGAUUUAGCGGCGUUUUUGAAUAAGCGCUGCUAAUGCUCAGAGCUUUAGCGGCAUUUUUUGAAUAAGCACCGCUAAUGCUCAGAGCUUUAACGGCUUUUUUGAAGAAGCGCCGCUAAUGCUCAGAGGUUUAGCGGCGAAUGUGAAGAAGCGCCGCUAAUGCUCGGUUUUUUUAGCGGCUUUUUUCAGAAAACGCCGCUAAUAGUCGGGGUUAUAGCGGCGUUUCUAGAAAAGCGCAGCAAAAAAUUAAGCACAACGCAGCCAUUUUAUGUUGAGCUGCGUUAGCGGCGCUUUUUUAAAAACGCCGCAAAUAAAUUAAAAACUUUUAUUUAUAUUAAUUAAAAUACAAUUUAUUUUUAAUUGAAUAUUUAAAUUCUUCAGUAAAAAAUAAUGACACGUAGAAAAAAUAUGAAAGUAAAAACAUAGAAAGUAUUUGUUAAAAAUAAAAAAAAUUUAAGAGACUAUUAUUUAAAAUAAUUUUAAAGUUUAUUGGGUACAGGACUGGUAAUUGUUUUUUAAUUAAUAUAUUAAAUAGUUUGUUAUAUAAUCGUAAAAUAGAUAGCUUUAAUUUUAAAAUAUUGAAUUAAUUUCCAUUAUAGUUUUAGGUUUAUGCAUGGUUUAGGGUAUAUGAUUUAGGUGUUAGGAUUUAAGGUAUAGGGAUUAUGCAUGGUUUAUGGUUUAUGGUUUAAGAUUUAGGAGUUACUAUUUAAGGCCGUUUAUGGAUUAUGGGUUUAGUGAUUAUGUUUUACGGUUUAGGUUUUAAGUGUUGGGGUUUAAGGUCUAGGGGUAAUUGGGGUUUAGGGUUUAAGAUUUAGAAAUUAUGGUUUUGGGGUUUAGGAUUUAGAAAUUAUGAUUUUGGGGUUUUAGAGUUUAGGGUUUAAGGGUUUUUAAUGAAGCGUUUUUCACCCUUAGUAAUUGUAGGGUUCUUAUAAUGUCAUAUGUUUGUUCUAUUCUAUCGUAACAUCAUAAGCUUUGCGUUCUUUAAUACAAAAAAAAACUACAUAUUCUUCAGCAGGAAGACAUAUAUAUCCAGCUCGAGUUUUCAUAUUAAUUAAAAUUAUUUUCAUGUACACAAUUAUAAAAUUUUACAAAUUAAAUAUAUAGCGUAGAACAGAACAAAUUUAAUUUAAAUGAAUUUAAGAAAUAAUUAAACCUUUCAAAUGUAGAAACAAAUUUAAUUUAAAGGAAUUUUGUUUUCAUAAAAACGGUGCCGUUCAAUAGAAUCUGUUAGUGGCGUUUUUGGAGAAACGCCGCAAUAUGUCGACCUGUAGUGGCGCUACAUUAAAAAUGUCACAGAAAGUCAAGCUAUUUUUUUGAAAACGGCGCCGUGUUAUUAUCUUCUUUAGCGGCGUUUAUGGUAAAACGCCGCAAAAAGUCAGGAAUUAGCGCCGAGAAAUUAAAAGCGCCGCAGAAGGUUAUUUUGUGUUAAUGAAAACGGCUCCGUUUUGUAUGUUUUUUAGUGGCAUUUUUAGUUAAACGCCGCAAAAUGUAGGAAUUUAGCGGCGCUUCUUCAUAAAUGCCGCAAAGGUUUAUUUCUUUUAGUAAAACGUUGUCGUUUUGCUCUCCUCUGUUUUCACCCUUUUUCUUAUUCUAAUUUUAUCAAAACGGUGUUUAUGGGAAAAUGGCCGCUAAAGGUCAUGAUCUUUAGCGGUGUUUAUUUCUAAAAACGCUGCAAAUGUUAGCGACGUUGAGCGCCGCUAAAAACCUGCUUUGGUGUAGUGAUUAAACGUUAGUUUGUUCUUAAUUUCAACCAUUAAAUUAAACAAAUUUAUAUAAUUAUGCUUCCAGUCCUAUUACUUUUUAAACUUUUAAAUGUUAGAGAUUUAAUCUCUUUACUUAUCUUAUUUAAACAUUAACAUCUAAUUAGUAACAUAAUUAAUUGUUUUCCAUUGAAUACUAGAAUACCACAUAUUUAAAUUUAACGAAAGUCCAUUAGCAGUAUAAUGAACUAUAAACUUUAAUUAUCUAAAUAGUUGAAAUGAUGUCUUGGUUGACAUUAGAUUUUAGGUUCUAUUCUUGGAUGUUAAGGAUGGCAAUUCAAAUUGUAGAUUCGAAUAUUCGGGAAUAUUCGAUUUGGAUAUUUUCUAAAUUCAGAUUUUUAAAUUUCUAUUUUGCAGUUGAUGCGAAAGGAUAUCCUAAAUAUCCAUUAUCUCAAUCCGCAUUACUUAUUCGAAUAAGGACGACAAAUUCAAGUUUUAAUGUUUAAUACCAUUGGUUACAAAAUACUUAUACUUUUGAUUUUAUAUAUAUAAGAGUUUUUUGUGGAUUCAAAUCCGGAUUUUGUGUAUUUGAAUAUUCGAAAAAUAAAUAGAAAUUUCAAUUUGUUUUUCAAAAUUUAUAUAUCAGACAAAUCUAAAAAUAUUUUUAAAUAGGAUUAAAUAUGAUUUAUAUUAUAAAGUAAAUAACAUAUACAAAUUUUACUUUAGUAAAAUAUUAUUCAAGUCUAGUUCUUUCAUUAAAUAAUUUAUAUUUAUUAUAUUGAAUAUAAUUUUAGACAAUUAAUAUUAAAAAAUUAAUUCUUAAAUGCUUAUAAUUAUUAUAUUGAUAAUGAUAUAUUAAUAUAAUUGUAAAAAUAUUUUAAUUAAUUAUAUCUUGAAAUAGUUGAUAAUAGUUUUAUGUUUUAUUGAGUAUUUUAGUCAAUAUAAUUAAAGAAAUUUUGAACAAUCUUCUAAUUAUAUAUGCUCUUUUUAACACAAGACUUAGAAAUACCUAAAACCCCUCCUCAACCCAUAAAUAGAAGGAUAAUGCGCUUUAGCGCACUUGAACCCAAGUCCUCCAACAUUAGAAACAAUGUCCAUGUCAAUUGAACUAAAAAUCAAUCGACACAAUUAAAAAUAUUUUUUUUCUAAAAAUAAAGUUAUCAGUUUAAGUCUAUUACUUAUGUAUUCCAUGAUUCAUUUUUCUUAACAAAAAAACUUUAUACCAUCAUUAUUAUAUUCCAUUCAAUCAAUCAAACAUGCAUGGUAAUAUUUUUAUCUCUUUAUUCCAUUCUUACCAAAUAAGCUAUUCGAUUCUUAUCUUAUUUCGUUCUGGUUAACUGAACGUGCUUUAAGUUAAGAAGCGUUUAUAAGUCGAGUCGAGAUAUAUCUAAGUAUGAUAUUAUCAUACUUUAUACUUGUCCAAACUUGGACCGACUUGAAAUAUGGGUUUAAAAUUUUGCUCAAAUACGUCAAUAUUAUUUUUUAAUUUUUUAAAGGAAAUAUUUAUACUAUAUUAUUUUAAUAUUUAAUAAUUUUAUUUUUUUAUUUAUUAAAAUUUUUUUAUAUAAUCAAACAUUAUUUUAAUGUUUACAUCAGAGUAGUAUUAUAUAUUUAAUAUUAUAUAUAAAAAUGACAUAAUAUAAACUAUUAUAAACUUAAAAAUAGGUCAAGUUUUGAAUGUUUAAGUUUGAGCCCGGUCCCUAAUAUUCUUAUCCAAAUCCUCUCAAAUUUCAAAUAAACCUUUUAAGUUUGGACGAGUAACCCAACCCGUAAACAAGACGUGUCGAAAAUUACACACAGAGGGUGACAGCGUUGGCGACUACUAUGAUUGGAGAAUUGCAGCAGGAGAGUGCUGGAAAUGGGAUAGCUAAAGACAGUUUUUGUUACCAAAAAGAAAAAUCUGUCUUCUAAAAGAUCCCAAUCCAUCGGUACAUUAACUACAAGAUUCAACAAAUAAUUAUAUGCACGAUGUUACACUCCCUAUACAUACCCCAGACAAAAAGAAAAACAACUAUCAACUUUAAACAGAGCACAACAAAAUAAAUAAACUAUAACACAUCUCAAAAUCUGUAUAGCAUAAACUAGUCCAUUUUAGUAGAUGUUGAAAUGGAGUUGAGUGAGAAAGGGCAUGGUGGAUCAGGAACUUGGAUUGCUCCAUCAAGCAUCAUUGUAACAAUCCUCAUGGAAGGCCUUAACAUUGGCUCUUCUUGAACGCACCAAAUCCCCACUUUUAAUAACUUCUCCAAUUUCCCAACAUCAUUUCUAGCUUCUUCAUCGUCUUCAACUAGUUUUUCAAUCAUCCCUUCGCUGUAACACUGAAAAGCCCAAUCUGUUAAUAUUGCUGCUUCCUCAAUUUCAACUUCCACACAUCUUCUGCAACAUAUGAUCUCUAAUAACAUUACCCCGAAGCUGUAGACAUCGACCUUGACCGUAACCGGGAUUUUUCGAAACCAUUCUGGUGCUACAUAGCCUUUUGUCCCUCGUAUGCCGGUUUUCGUUCGUGUUUUGUCGUUCAUAAGAAGCUUUGCCAACCCGAAAUCGGAUAUUUUCGCGGUGAGGGAUUCGUCUAAUAGUAUGUUUUGUGGCUUUAUGUCGCAAUGGAUGAUUUGUUUGCUGCAUUCUUCGUGUAAGUAUGUGAGGCCUUUUGCAAUCCCUGAUGCAAUUUGCAGUCUUUGUUGCCAACUAGGCCUUAAAAUUCCGAAAAGGAAGCUUGACAAUGAUCCGUUUUCCAUGAACUCGUAGACCAAAAGUCUAUGUUCGGCUUCAUCACAAUAGCCAAUUAGUCUGACCAAGUUCUUGUGGUGAGUUUGGCCGAUGACCUUCACUUCAGUUUUGAAUUCCCUUUCGCCGUCUUGAGCAAACUUGUCGAGUUUCUUGACUGCAAUACGAUCUCCAUAGCUUGAUGGCAAUUCUCCUUUAUAAACCGUGCCGAAAGCUCCCCUUCCAAGUUCUUCUUUGAAUCCGUUCGUGGCAUGUUCAAGGUCUUUGUAUGUGAAAAACUGCAGAUUAGUCUCUAAAUCUCUUCUGCUAUGAGCACCUUUCAAUUCCCCAAGCCUUCUUCGGAAUAAGCAGAAGAAGAUCAGAGAAAUUGCAGCUAAAGAAAAGAAGUUGAAAAUUGCAGAGGUGCCUAACAGAACUCCAAGGAUCAAUACAACUUCAUUUUGAUUUUCGUCACUCUGGUUCGACUUGGUCGGGAUUUUCCCCGAGGCAUCCGACUUUAGUACCUUAAAUAGAGCUGUUCGAUCAACAGCCUCUCUGUCAAACAAUCCGUUGGAAAGUGGUAAUUUCCAGUGUCAAUAACGAAAUUCCCAGUGUCAAGCAUGGCUGCAUGGGACAAUUGAAAAUCAUCAGUAGCCCUCUCAGACCUCCACAACUCUUUUCCUUUAGAGUCGUUAAGAACAAGAAAACCGGUCUCGGUGAGUUCCACCGUCGAUCCUCUAUCGGUUUCGGGGUUAUCUCGAUUAGCAUACCAGACUAUAGUUAUUUCUGGUAUAUUAGCAUACCAGAUUGCAAGAAGAAACCGAUCUUUUUUACUAGUAAUGGGGUGAAAACCAAAGGCAAAAACACCUGAUGGCGAUUGCCAGGUGGUGUUUGUAUCAUCUGCAGCAAGCGACUUGCCUACAGUUACAUUUGCUUGAGCCUCAACUGUUGCAAUAAUCCAAAGGAUGCUUGCAAGGAUAAACAGGCAAAGAUGGCUAUGAAAAAGUGGUGAAAUCAUUGAGUCUCUCCCACUAGGUGUUCAACAAAAUGAAAGAACUAUAAAGUGUGAACCUUGAGAUCAUUGAAUCUAACGCAGUGAUUAAAAAGGGAAAUGGAAUUUUCAGGUGCUGGUUUUGUGAGGAAACUUCCUGGAAAGUGGAAAAUGGAAAAAUUCAGCUGAUGAAACUUGAACAAUGACUUGGCUCUGCACAUGCUAUGACCUUUCUAAAUUCUUGCGUUGCACUGUCAUGAUCGGCACCUUGCUGGUUGAGGGUGUUGUUUUAAAGAUGUUUGACUAUUAUUACAACAAAAAUGGUUUACAGUCACGUCAGUUUUGGGGACCGAGUGAACGGAUCUGUAACAAAAUGUUUAAAGUCGUGCACACAUUAAACCUAUUCCAACAUAAGUAUAAAAAAUAUGGCGGCGGAGAACUUUUCAAAAAAGUUAAGUAUAAAUCUUAUAAAAAUCUGAGCUAUUACAUAUAUAUAAAAUAUUUAUCAAAUAUUUUUAUUAACUUUAAACAAAAGAUAUGAACCCAAUCCAAUUUAGAAUUUUUAUAAUGAAAGUAAAAAAAAAAUAUUAUCAACUUUGGAAUCAAAAUUAAUGUUUUUGAAUUAUAGAUUUAUCACAAUUUUUAUAGUCAUAUCAUAUUUGGUAUAACAAAAUGGUCAAAGUCGUCGGUCAUUGGGUAUACUAUUUCUUAAAUAUUUUUAAAAUAAUAAAAUAAAUAGUGGAGGAGAGUGUCAAUACCUUCAUGACUGGCAUCCCAGUCAGUCAUUCUCCCAUCAUUGAUUGUUGAAUGCUGGGAGUUUAAAAAAUUAUUUUUUUUUCUUUUUGGACUGGAGAAUAUUUAUAUUUUAUAAAAUAUGGGAGAAAAAUAAAAAAAAAAGUUUUUAAACCUCCUAACAAUCAGCAGUCAGCGAUGGGGAAUGAUUGACUUGAGUGUCGACCAUGAGGUGCCGAUACCGUUCUUCACUGUUCAUUUUAAGUUAUUUCCAUCAUUAUUUUUAAAGUUGGAUCAUUCUUAUAAAAAAAUUGGAUUAAUUGAGUAAAUAUAAAUAACAUGGCCGUGGAGAACUUUUCGAAAAAUUUAAGUAUAAAUCUUAUAAAAAUCUGAGCUAUUACAUAUAUAUAAAAUAUUUAUUAACUUUAAACAAAAGAUAUGAACCCAAUCCAAUUUAGAAUUUUUAAAAUAAAAUAAAAUAUUAUCAACUUUGAAAUCAAAAUUAAUGUUUUUGAAUUAUAGAUUUAUCACGAUUAAAAUAAAAUGUAUAACACCCUAUUUAUGUUUAUAUUUAUUUUUCUUUUUCAUUUUAUUGUUUAAAUAAGGACAUAAAACAAAUAGAAUUAUAAUUUUCAACCCAAUUUGCAUCAAUAAAUCCAUUUGGCAUAAAAUUAUUGCACUUCUUGUAUAGAAGAUCAUAACCAAGAGGUCCUUUGGUAUAAUGCAAAAUCUUUUUUGUUGCAUCCAAAUGAGAAGUUAUUGGAUUCUGCAUAAAUUGAAAAACCAACAUCAAUAGAGUAUGAAAUUUCUAGUCUUAUAACAUUGACUUUCUUGCAUCCUCCAAUCGAUUCCCUUCAUCCUUUUUCAACUUGAGAUUUGGCUUUAUUGGAGUAACCUUUUCUUAAUUUCAACUCUCUCAUGCUAAAGCACUCCAAGAGACUUUUUGCAUAGUCUUUUUUUAGAAACGAAAUUACCUUUGUUUGAUUUUUCAAAUUUUAGACCAAAAAAAUAUCUAAUCUCCCUCCAAAUUUUCAUCCCAAAACAGAUAUACAAAUCAUUCCUCAAAUUGGAUAAUGCCAUAAUAUAUUCAUUUGAUUCUAAUUAGAAUGCGAGUCAGAAACUCUAAAACCACAAAAGAUGAGAUAUUGAGCAAGUUUACCAUACCAUGCUCUUGAUGCUUGCAUUAAGCCUUAGAAUGCUUUCUUCGAACAAUAGACAUCACUUGAAAUUUGCUUAGAGCCAAAGAUAAAGGUUGCUCUAUAAAUACGUCAUGAUCCAAUUCUUUUUACCUCAAGUUGUCAUAGUUUUCAACCUUUAAAAGCAGCAAAUGAAAUAAUUGAUUGCACCGUCACCAUUUUAACUACUGGCUAAAUGUUUCCUUAUAGUCCAAUUCAUAGUUUUGAGAAAACUCACGAGGUUUCAACUUGUCUAUGGAGCAAUAAUUUGACCUUUUCUUCAAGCGAAAGAUCCAUUUGCAAGUGACUGGCCUACACUUUUUUGGUUUAGGUAAGAAGUCUCAUGUCUUAUUUUUGUCUAAAGCCUCAAUCUCUUCUUUCAUUGCUAUUUCCCAAAUUUACCACCUGAUCCUCCACUUCCUUCAUGACUCGGCAUUCUCAAGAAUAUUUGAAGGAUUUGUUUCAUUGGUGCUAGUAGUCCUGACCUUGAACAUUCAUACACAUCCUCCAACACUUUAGUUAUUGCUGACAAGUUUCUUCAUACCAUUCUAAGUUGUUCCUACAUUUGAGAGUUCCAUUGCAACCAACCACUACACCAAAACAGGCUUUUAGCGGCGCUUUUAGUGGCGUUUGCAUAAAAAAUGCCGCUAAAAAUAAGCAUUAGCGGCGCUUUUUAAAAAACGCAGCUAAAAAUCGAGUAUUAGGAGCGCUUUUUGCAAAAUGCCGCUAAAAAUGAGCAUUAGCGGCGUUUUCCAAAAAGCGCCGCAAAAAACCUAAGCCCAACGACGUGUUCGGGGCUUUAGCAGCGUUUUUGAAGUAGCGCCGCUAUUGCUCUAUUUGUAGUGUCGUUUUUGAAAAAGCGCCGCUAAUGCUCUAUUUUUAGCGGCGUUUUUGAAAAGGCGCUGCAAAAAAUAUUUUAUCUGUCUAUUUAUUAUUUAAUUUGUUUAUUUAUAUUAAUUCAAAUUCAAAUUAUUUUUAAUUGAAUAUUCAAAAAUUAAAAUACUAUUAUUUAAAAUAAUUUUAAAGUUUUUUAGGUACAUGACUGAUUGUUUUUUAAUUUAUAUAUUAUAUAAUUUCUUAUAUAAUCAUAAAAAAGAUAGUAUUAAUUUUAAAAUACUGAAUUAAUUAUCAUUAUUGUUUAGGGUUUAUGGUUAAGGGUAUAUGGUUUAGGGUUUAAAGUUUUGGAGUUACUAUUUUAAGGUUUAUAGAUUAUGGGUUUAAGGAUUAUGAUUUACGGUUUAUGCGUUUAAGGUUUAAGGGUUACGGUUUAUGGUUUAUAGAUUAAUGGUUGGGGUUUAAGGUUUAGGGAUUAGGGGUUGAGGGUUAAGAGUUAGGGGUUUUAAAAUAUUGAAUUAAUUAUCAUAAAAGAGGUAGUAUUAAUUUUAAAAUAUUGAAUUAAUUAUCAUUAUAGUUUAAGUUGUAUACUUUUGGGUUUAGGGUUUAAGAGUUACUAUUUUAAGGUUUAUGAAUUAUGAGUUUAGAGAUUAUGGUUUAUGGUUUAAGGUAGAGGUGCUCAUGGGUUGGGCGGCCCGGUCCGGCCCGACGGCCCGCCUGAAAUUUGGGAGGGUUCGGGUAAAAAUAUAGGCCCGAAAUAUGGGUUCGGGUAAAAAAGAGGCCCGUUUAGAAAACGGGUCGGGCAAUGGGCAAAAAAUUUUAGGCCGGGCCCGGCCUGGCCUGGAUAUAAUUAAUAUUUUUUUUAUUUUUAAAAUUUAUUAUUACAUUUCCCAUUUCCCAUUUCCCAUUUCCCAUUUCCCGUGUAUCUGAUAAAUCCCUAACCCAUCCCCUCCUCCAUUUUUUUCCCCAAAUCGAAAAACCACCUCCACCGAUCCACCAUUCCACCUCCGGUGUCCGGUCCUCCACGACUAUUAAAGUCCUUGCUUGUAAUAAUCUGGCUAUUGAGAGGUAAGAUUGUUCAUUCUUCCAUUUUUUCUUUCUGGGGUUAAUGUUCCUGUGUUUGCAAUCUUUGUGCUUUCAUCCAACAAAGAUUAAAUUAGUGGACCUUUCUUCAUUUCAUGCGAUUUGAGUGGUUUUUAUUCUUGGGUGUUUUUAUAAAUGGUUGGUCUUGAAUGUUCUUUUGUGUUUCUGAGAUAAUUCUGUUUGUUUUUUGUGCUAUAUAUGGGAUCUUUGUUGUUUUGAAUCUCCUACCUGUUUUUUUUUUCUGGGUUCAUGUUUGUUUAGAAUGAGGGCUAACAAUGAUGAGAUUAUGUUGUAUUGAUUUUCUUUGGAUUGGUUUUCACUUUCAGUGGCAUAUUCCUUUUAAAACUGAAGGUAGCUGAUUGGGCUUGCGUUCUUAUGUUCCAUAUGAAAUCUAAUUAUUAUCUCUUUGUUGUUUGACCAUUGGUUGAUUGGUGUUCUCCUUCAUAGCUUGAUUCAUUCAUAUCUCUUUUUUGUAUCUGAAGAUUUGAUAUGGAUUUAUAAUUUGAUGUUUUUGAGGAUGUUUGAUUGCCUUGAAUGAAUAUAUUGAAUAAAAUAAAAGUGAAAUCUUGUUGAAGUCUCAUUAGAUAGGUAUUUACAACGUGCCCUAAUAACAAGAAUUGGAAGUUUGAUUAUAUGCAGUGGAAAUGACUUCAUUCGUACUUCGAUUUCCAUUUUUAAUGAAGUUAGUACUUCAAGAAAAAAAAUCAGAUUUUAGAUAAAUUGUUUAAUUUCAAAUUAAAAGAAAAACUGUUUAAAGUUUAAAUAAAAAUUAUUAAGUAUAUAUUUUUAAAAUGAUAUGGAACGGUUGAGUAAGCCUAAAUUGUCCAUUUAACUUUACAAAGACAAAUUUUUAUAUUUAAAUUACAUCCAACUUUGUUUAUUUGGGGUCUUGUUGAGGAAAAGUCAAUCUAUAAAGGAUUGUACUGUCACAGUAAAAAUACAUUUUUGUAAGCUAAUGGGAUCAAUAUCUAUAAUUACUAUUAUGUAUAAUAUUGAUAUUUCUUGUGAAUUUACAGAUCAUAUCUCUAUUGGUCGAGGUAUUCCUUAAAUUUAGUGAACCUGAUGAGCUCUCGAACACUGUUUUAAAUUCUCUUAGUACAACACUGUUUUAAAUUCUCUUGUAUGACAAUCCCAGUACCAGCUCUUUGAAAAAUCGAGUCUUUGCUCAUUCCAUUAUUACUUCACUUCUUGCAGUCUAGUGGCGUAGAUGCUGCAACUCUUUGCUCAUUCCAUUAUUACUUCACUUCUUGCAGUAGUAACAUUUCCCAUUGUAUUUUGUACAUGUUAUUCUUAAUUUUAAUCUCAUCUUUUUUGUUUUUGCUUUGUUUUAUUGCAGAAACAAGCUAUUGAGGCAGAAAAACAGCAGGCCCAGUCAGGUUGCUAUCACUUAGAGGUUGCUAUCACACCCUUUCCUUCGAAACAAUCAAACCCAGAUCUUUUCAUAAAUGAUGUGUGUUUUUUUAGUAUUACUUAAACAUGUGACAAGUUUGAUCUUGUAUCACAAGGCUAGCAUAGAUAAAUAACCAGUUUAUAUCCUUUUACCAAAACUCAGAUCUUUGCUCAUUCCAUUAUGCUUACAAGUUACAACUAAACUUUAAUCUUUAUAUCCUUUUACCAAAAUGAUUAAAUUUUAGUUUCUAUACUUUAUUUUUUAACAUAAAAUGGUGCUUAUAUUUUUAUAAUGUUAUUAACUAAAUAAUUAAUAUUGUUAAUUUUUUUAUUAAAACAAUAAUUUUUAAUGUAAUAUACUGUUUUAAUAUAUUAUAAUCUUAUUUUAUUUUUUGUUCAUUAUAUACAAAAAAAUUACAAUUUGAUAUUUGAUAUAAAUUCAAUAACAAUUAAUUUUAAUAACAAUUAGUUUUAACUUUUAAGUCAAAAAAAGGGCCGGGCCAGGCCCGGGCUUCAUAUUUUUUUCAUGGGCUGGGCCUGGGCAAACUAUCAGGCCCAUAUUUCGGGCCGGGCCGAGCCCGGGCCUAGGUAACGGGCUGAAAUUUUUUAUAGGCCCGGCCCGGCCUGGCCCAUGAGCACCUCUAGUUUAAGGGUUGGGGUUUAAUGUUAGGGGUUAAGGGUUUAAGGUUUAUGUUUUAUGAUUCAAGGUCUAGAGGAUAAGGGUUAAGGGUUUAAAGUAAUUGGUAUUUUUUAAUUUAUAUAUUAAAUUAUUUAAAUUAUUUCUUAUAGUUUAAAUUAUUUAAGAGAUUUCUUAUAUGGUUUACUUGAGAUUUGUUAAAUGAUGAAAUUUUAUACAAUCAAUUAAUGCUUUUAUAUUUCAAAAUAUUUAAUCUAAACCAUUUGAUAUAUUUAAAUAUUAGAUUAAAAAAUAUUGAUAAAUAAAUAAAUAAAAAGUAACAGAUUGAUAUGGAUGGGUAACAAUCUAUUUUGCAUAGGACUAAAUUAUAACAAAUAAAAUAAAAAAAUUAUAUAAAAGAUUUAAAAUUUAUCUAAUUCUUUUAAAUAUUACUUAAAUUUUCAAAAUUUAUUUAUUUAAAAUUGAUAUGAAUUAUAUAAUAAUUAAAUAUAAAAUUAUAAAAAAAAGUCAAUUAUUAGUGGCGUUUGUGAGAAAAACGCCGUAAAAAAUAAACAAUAACGGCGUUUGAACAAAAAAACGUUGCAACCAUGUAUUAAAAAUUUUCAAAACAGCCCGUUUUCACUACAAAAAUUUAACAAAAAAUUCAAUUAGUGGCGCUUUUUAUAAGCGCCGCAAAUAUUCUGACGCGUGGUUUUCAUUUCAAAUUCCCGCUAAAAUAUCCCUUCUGAAAUUUCGCUCAAAUGCUUUUUAAACUUUUUCAUCUUCCUUUUAAUUGUUUAUUCCAUCAACUCGUAUCGAAGUCUCAAACCGAUUCAAUAGCAGUGAGUUGACUUAGCAGCUGCUUUUUUCCGUAUGGGGAUGGAAACGAAGGAUGAGUUCAUGACUUUCGAGCCAGAGCAGGCCCAAGUGGGAUCUCGAGGACCGACGUUAGUAAUUAACGAGAUGGUGAUGAGGAACGUCAAGUCUUAUGCCGGUGAGCAGCGCGUCGGUCCCUUUCACAAGGUUAUAUUUUCUUUUAUCGUUUAAUUUUUAUAGUUUUUAUUUGGUUUCUAGUAAAGUUUGGAAAUUGAGAAGGAAAAUUGCAAAAUUUAUGUAAUAAUUUCGCGGACUCAACUUGGAAAUUGAGAAGGAAAAAAUGAAGAACUGAGAAGGAAAUUAAAAAUUGCAUGACUUCAACUCGAAUAGCUUUCUUUUUUUUUUUCUCCUUUUUGUUGUAAUUUUAGCGGUUUCCUUUUGGUUACUGAGAAAGCACCGGAAACCGAGAAAGAAAAUUGCAGAUUGAUGAACAUUUCAAAAAUUUAUAUUUUCGAUUACUUUAUUUUUUUCAUAGUUAGAUGUAGAAAGUAAGCUUUUAGUUUGUUUGUUAGUAGUCUAACUCCUGCUUGGUUGCCGAGAAAAAAAAAUGUAAAAUGAGAAAGAAAAUAAAAAUGAUAUGAUAAUUGCACGAAUUGAAUUUGAGAUAAUUUAUUUUUUCUGUUAUCAGUGUUUCCUUCUUUUGGUUGCGAGAAAGAGGUGGAAAAUUGAGUGGGAAGUUGCUAGUCUAUGUGACAAGUUCUAAAAUUUAACUCAAAUUAAAAGUGACAAGAAGUUUACAUGACUUGUGUUAAGCAUCCAACCUAAAACCAAUUGACUAUAAGUGGAAGGGCCUGAUUUGAAAACAAGACAAACAGUAAAACCAAGACUUAACAGAUGAGAGAGAAUACCACUUAACACUCCCCCUUACAUGUAGCCCCACAGGGUCAUAGAUAUGUACAACCUCUCAAGGGCUAGUAAAACUUCACGUGGGGGGUAGGAGGAUCAGGAAAAACCUGGGCUUUGUUAUCAUAUUAAGAUAUUAAAGAAUCUUAAAAUAUAUAUGUUACUCUUUUCACUAGUUGAGAUUAUAAGUUCUAUUGUUUAAGCUCUUCCUGUUGUAGAACUUGCUUCUAAGAUCAUUUAUGCAAAUUUAACAUCUUUUGAAACUUCUUCAGAAAAAAAUGGAAUGGAGCAAAAUACCUUUAUAAUCUGUCUGUGUAAAGCUUUGUAUCUGUUGGCAUUAAUGUAUUUAAUGGGUGCUCGAAGUCAAACAAAAUUAUUUAAGGUAGCUGAGAUCCAACCAACUCCAGCCUUAAAAAACAGAAAGAAAAAAGAACAGAAGAGAUUUUUUGACCCUGUUCUGGUUAGCUGUUAUGAUAAUGUCAAUUACCAUUUAAUUAAAUUACUUUUCCAUUUGUGCAUUUUAACUUUUUGACCAUAUGAUUGUAGAUUCGCAUGGAAACUCGAUCUGGGGUUAAGCAUUUUAUUCCUGCUUGGAUCAAGUUCUCUGUUCAAGCAGCUGGUGAAAUCCCAUACAGUGGAAUAUACUAUGAUCCACCAGAAGAGGUAUAUUUAGUGUGGUUUGCUUGGAAAUAUUAAAUGACUUAAUUCUUUUCAAACUAUGAGCUGCUGAAAUAAUUGGAGCCUGGGAAAAAUCAGGAGUACUAACUAAUGUUUGUAAUACUUUUAAAAUGAAUGCAUGAGUGUGAAGAUGCACCAGCAUGCAUGAAAAAAAUGAGUUUAAAGAGAAAUAAUUAUGCAAGGAGGUUAUUUUUUAUGAACGUAGUAUUGGUGUUAAGAAUCAACUCCCUUAAAAAAGUUUAUAACUAACCGAUUUUGGUUGGUUCACUUUCGUAUGUGAAAUCAGUUUUUAAGUUAUUGCAUGUUUGAUAGAUUGUGUCUUAAAAAUUCUGCUUAAAAAUCUAAAACAUAUGAUUCUUAAUCUUUGUUGUCACAGAGCAGCUACAGGGAGUACCUAAAACUAAAAGCUAGAUAUGAGGAACUGCAAUGAACUCAGAGGUGUUUAGUCUGACAACCAUACCAUAGCUUUGGACUUCCAUAUUAGUUUGAUAGGCUAUUAGUCCAUUUAGAAGUGUAUACUCAACUUACUCCAUGAUUGUAAUUACUAAAAGUAUUUGAAUAAGAGCAAUUUUAUGUGCAAUCUGGUUUGGUCCUUUGAUUCAACAGGAAUCUUCGCGUUUAUUAGACUUGGGUCUAUAGAACUCCAAGAAGCUUGAGCAGCUUGAGCAUCAACUAGAGUCAUCCUUGAAACAUGUCCGCUCCACCAAGGUAACAUGUAAUGAAGCUUAUAUACUUAUAGGUUUUAUCUUGUUUGGAGGGUAAGUUUUGAUUACUGCUUACAUCUAUCUUUGAUAUGUUUGAGUUUAUACAAGUGAGAAUUUCAUACAAUUGUUCAGCAUAGUAUAUUUAUUUUUUAUCAUUUGUUGCACAUCUGUUAUAUUCUGAAUUUUUAAGAUAGCUAGGAAUAAAUAUGAAACUAGAAUGUUAUGGUAAAUAAACUUUUUUUUCUGAUUUAAUCCCAUCCAAUUUAACCAGACCCAACUUGUCAGCAAAUCUAUCUUCUACAAAAAUUGUGUUCUUUUUAGAAGAGUUUUUCUUCAUCAGUAAUUUAUUUAAAUUACAAUUUAUUAUUAUAAGCUUUGCUUAAAAUCUAAUGGAGGGGGUUAAAAAUUGUCUAUUGAAGCUCAUUAACCACAAAUAAUACUAGAAGUGGCUAGAGGAAUUAGGGAAACAAUACUAUAUAAUAACAUCUUUAUUAGAAUAAUUUCAUUUCUACUUUAAUAAUACUGAAAAAUUAAUAAUUUUAUUAGACGAUUUAAAAUAUGUAGUGUCGGGUUUUCUAGAUUAUUGAUUAAGUCGUAUGCUUGUCGGCAGACUGGUCAAGCUAUGGCAAGUGCUCUCAAUGUUGUACAAACAUCUCAUUCGUUUGGGGAUUUAAUGCUCCUAAUGAAAGCUGCUGAACUGCAACAAGUGUGUGCUUCUCUUGGUGGUUUUUUUUACUACGUUUUUAAGUGAUAAAACUAAUGUUAACUUUGUGAGGAAUUGGGUCUCGUAACACGUGAUUCAUCUGAAUAUCUAUUUGUUUUAGUGUUAAUAAUUCUUUUAACAUAAAUUUUGCAGGAAAGGCCCUGGAGUUAUAUGGUUGAAAUGGUCAGGAUUGAAUCUAUGAGUCCAAUUUGAAACUCUUAUUCGUCUUUCCAUAAAAAUACAUUUGUAUUUGAACUUGAACUUGAACUUGAUUUAACCUUGUCUAGAUUGGCUUCUGUGAAGUUGCUCACUCGGUAAACAUUUUAUAUCAUUUUUCAGCUGUACCAUAUAAGCAGCUUGGAGGCGGUGGACUUUCUGGAUAAGUUUCUUUCCAUGAAUUCGGACACUAGGUAUAACGUAUUUAUGGUAGUCCUUUCUUGUUAUCGGGCCAGCUCAACUCAUAGAACUGCACCAUCUCUAGUUCAGAAACACAAAGAUAUAACGUUCCAUUCUCUUUUAAUAGUUUUUAAUGAUCUCUUCGUGCAGUGGCUGUGUUAAACUUCAUGAUUUCCUUGAUGUGGAGAAGAAUGGAUCAAUUACAUUCAAGCAGGUAAGCUGCAGUUUUACCUCCCUAGAAUUUUCGUGCUUCUGUUUAUUAUAUCUUAAUUUUAGUUUUACGUACAGUGUGUUGCUAACCGGCCAUGACCAUGGUAACCUUGUCAUGACUCAUAAUGCUGCUAUUAUAUUGCCUUCAGUUGAUCUCUACUAGCUUGCAUAAACAUCCAAAUUCUCUCUGUUAUGAUAAUUCACCUUAAUUUUGGUCCAAAAGACAAUUCAAGCAAUUUUUUCAUCCGUAGAUGGCUCAUUGUACCGUUUUAUGUUCUUCCUGGCAGUUUUUAUUCGGGAUAGCUCAUGUUAUGAAGAAACCACUACUCAUGCAAGCUUGUGAAUUAGCAUUUGCCGAAUGUGAUGUUACAAAUGGAAUGCAAGCCCCGUGGUUGGUGGAGUGGUUGGUGGAGAUAGGUAUCUGCAAGGCUUAGCACUUCUUCAAGUGGAGUGUUAUUUAAUGUUGCAUUCCAUGGUCGUUUAUCUUAGUCGGAACUUGAAUUCGGUGUUAUUGAAACAGGGUUUUGUAGCUACCUUGUGUACUAGCUUCUUUAACCAUGAUUGUUAAUUAUUACAUGUUUUGUAGCUUCUUUUAUAUUUGGCUGAGUUAAUAUAGAUCAGAUGAGCUUUGAGGUAGAUUGUUCAUUUAUUUAAACAUAAUAUUUUAAUUCUAAAUUUAAAUUUAUUAAUUUUUAUAUUUAGCUUUAAAGUUAAAAUUUUGAUUGAAAAUUUAAUUUAAUUAAUAUUUUUUAUCCUUAAAAGUAUAUAGUUUAAAGUUUAAAUUUCAAAAAUAAAACAUAAUAUUAAUAUUUAUCAUAGAAAUAAAUAUUAUUUAAUUAAAAUAUUUUUUUAAUAGUCAUAUUUUUAGUGGCGUUUGUGGUGGAAGUGCUGCUAAAGGCCAUGAGCUUUAGCGGCGUUCAUGGAGGAAGCGCCGCUAAAGGUCAUAAUCUUUAGCGACGUUUGUGGAAAGAAGUUAACGUUAGCUUCAAAUUGUACUAAUUUUUUAACCUAUUCCCAGUCCAGUUUUAACAACAUUCAAAACUAGAUCAUUUUCGUAGACACAGACAUUGACAUUGAAUUGAGUGGAAAAAGACAUGGUGGAUUAGGAACUUGGACAACACCUUCAAGCAUCUUUGCAACAAUCCUCAUGGAAGGCCUUAACAAUGGAUCUUCUUGCACACGCCAAAUAGCCACUUUUAAUAACAUCUCCAAUGUCUCAACAUCAUUUCUAGCUUCUUCAUCAUUUUCAACCAGUUUUCCAAUCAUCCCUUCGCUGUAACACUGGAAAGCCCAAUCUGUUAAUAUUGCUGCUUCCUCCAUUUCAACUUCCACACAUCUUCUGCAACAUAUGAUCAACAACAUCACCCCAAAGCUGUAAACAUCAACCUUGACAGUAACCGGGGUGUUUCGGAACCAUUCUGGUGCUACAUAGCCUUUAGUCCCUCGUAUGCCGGUCUUGGUUCGGGUUUUGUCGUUCAUCAGAAGCUUUGCCAACCCGAAAUCGGAUAUUUUUGCUGUGAAGGACUCAUCCAAUAGUAUAUAUUGUGGCUUUAUGUCACAAUGGAUGAUUUGUUUGCUGCAUUCUUCAUGCAAGUAUGCAAGGCCUUUAGCAAUCAUUGACGCAAUUUGCAAUCUUUGUUGCCAACUAGGCCCUGGAACUCCGAAAAGGAAGCUUGACAAUGAGCCAUUUUGCAUGAACUCAUAGACCAGAAGUCUAUGUUCAGCUUCAUCACAGUAGCCAAUUAACCUGACCAAGUUCUUGUGGUGAGUUUGGCCGAUGACCUUCACUUCAGUUGUGAAUUCCCUUUCACCAUCUUGAGCAAACUUGUCUAGUUUUUUCACUGCAACACGAUUUCCAUAGAUUGAUGGCAAUUCUCCUUUAUAAACGGUGCCAAAAGCUCCUCUUCCAAGUUCUUCACUGAACCGGUUCGUGGCAUGCUCGAGAUCUUUGUAUGUGAAAAACUGCAGAUUAGUCUCUAAAUUUCUUCUGCAGAUUAUUAUCUCUCCUAUUUUCUUUACUCUCACUUUUCUUCCUAACCAAAAACACAAUUUUUUUUUAUACUUUUCAUUUCCUUCCUCCUAUCCCUCCACUUUUUCACUCAAUCAAGCACUCAUGAUUAGAGGUGUCUAUGAAUCGGGCCGGGUUUGGGUUGGGCACAACAAAAAGUUAGAUUCGAGUCCAGUUUGGCCCAAAAAAUGGGCCUAAAAUUUUAUACAAACUCGACUCGAAUAAAAAUGUUAAAACCCGGUCUGGCCUAACCCGCCCGUAGUAAUUUCUUUUAUAUAUAUUUUUAAAAAAUAUAUAAUAUAUAAAAAAUACUAAAAAUAUUAAAAUAAAUGUUUUCCAUGAAAAAAAAUUUAAAAUAUAUAUAUGUAUACUUAAAUAACACUAAAAUAAAUGUAAUUUAACAAGCAAAUGUGAAAAAUAGUAACAAAAUUAACAGUAAAAUAAGAAUUAUACAAUAUCCAAAUAAUAACAACAAAAUAGUAGCAACGUAAUUAUGAAAUGGUUGCAAAAUAGUGAAAAAAAUAAGAAAAUGGGGGAAAAGCAGUUAAAAACAGCAAAAAAAAAAGGUUUUUUUGUUGUUUUCAUAUUCUGGCUAGGCUCGGGGCCAAAAAAACCUUACACAAGGCUUAAUCCGUUCUCUAGAUGGGCCAUAAUUUUUUGCUCAAGCCCAUCUUUCGGGUUUAUAUUUUUACACAAACCCUUCCAUUUUUCAGACGGGCCCACCCAACCCGGCUCAUGCGGUGAUUAUAUAGAUAAAAUAUAUUAGACGUUACUUUGUUCUUAAUUUCAACCAUUAAAUUAAGCAAAUUGAUAUAAUUAUGCUUCCAGUCCUUUUACUUUUUAAACUUUUAAACGUUAGAGAUUUAAUCUCUUUACUUAUCUUAUUUAAACAUAGUUAAUUGUUUUCCAUUGAAUAUUAGAAUACCACAUAUUUAAAUUUAACGAAAGUCCAUUAGCAGUAUAAUGAACUAUAAACUUUAAUUAUCUAAAUAGUUGAAAUGAUGUCUUGGUUGACAUUAGAUUUUAGGUUCUAUUCUUGGAUGUUAAGGAUGGCAAUUCAAAUUGUAGAUUCGAAUAUUCGGGAAUAUUCGAUUUAGAUAUUUUUUAGAUUCAGAUUUUUAAAUUUCUAUUUUGCAGUUGAUGCGAAAGGAUAUCCCAAAUUAAUAUCCAUUAUCUCAAUUUGCAUUACUUAUUCGAAUAAGGACGACAAAUUCAAGUUUUGAUGUUUAAUGCCAUUGGUUACAAAAUACUUAUACUUUUGAUUUUAUAUAUAUAUAAGAAUUUUUUGUGGAUUCAAAUCCGAAUUUUGUGUAUUUGAAUAUUCAAAAAAAAUAGAAAUUUUAAUUUGUUUUUGCAAAAUUUAGAUAUCAGACAAAUCUAAAAAUAUUUUUAAAUAGGAUUAAAUAUGAUUUAUAUUAUAAAGUAAAUAACAUAUACAAAUUUUACUUUAGUAAAAUAUUAUUCACGUCUAGUAUCUUUUAUUAAAUAAUUUAAAUUUAUUAUAUUAGACAAUUAAUAUUAAAAAAAUAAUUUUUAAAUGCUUAUAAUUAUUAUAUUGAUAAUGAUAUAUUAAUAUAAUUGUAAAAAUACUUUAAUUAAUUAUAUCUUUAAAUAGUUGAUAAUAGUUUUAUGUUUUCUUGAGUAUUUUAGUCAAUAUAAUUAAAAAAAAUUUGAACAAUCUCAUUAUAAGUUCUAAUUAUAUCUGUUUUUUUUAACGCAAUACCUAGAACUACCCAAAACCCCUCCUCAACCCAUAAAUAGGAAGAUAAUGCGCUUCAGCGCACUUGAACCGACGUCCUCCUACAUUAGAAACAAUGCCCAUGUCAAUUAAGCUAAAAAUCAAUCGGCACAAUUAAAAAUAAUUUUUGUCUAAAAAUAAAGUUAUCAGUUUAAGUCUAUUACUUAUAUAUUCCAUAAUCAUUUUACUUAACAAAAAAACAACUUCAUACUAUCAUUAUUAUAUUCCAUUCAAUCAAUCAAACAUGCAUGGCAAUAUUAUUAUCUCUUUAUUCCAUUCUUACCAAAUAAGCUAUUCGAUUCCUAUUUUAUUUCAUUCUGGUUAACUGAAUGUGCUUUAAGUUACGAAACGUUUAUAAGUCGAGUCGAGAUAUAUCUAAGUAUGAUAUUAUCAUAUUUUAUACUUGUCCAAAUCUGGCCUGACUUGAAAUAUGCGUUUAAAAUUUUGCUCAAAUACGUCAAUAUUAUUUUUUAAUUUUUUAAAGGAAAUAUUUAUACUAUAUUAUUUUAAUAUUUAAUAAUUUUAUUUUUUAUUUAUUAAAAUUUUUUAUAUAAUCAAAUAUUAUUUUAAUAUUUACAUCAAAGUAGUAUUAUAUAUUUAAUAUUAUAUAUAAAAAUAACAUAAUAUAAAUUAUUAUAAACUUAAAAAUGGGUCAAGUCUUGAAUGUUUAAGUUUGAGCCCGGUCCCUAAUAUUUUUAUCUAAAUUUUCUCAAAUUUCAAGUAAACCUUUUAAGUUUGGACGAGUAACUCAAUCCAUAAACAAGACUAUAUUGAGUGUCAAAAAGUACACACAGAGGGUGACAGCGUUGGCGACUACUAUGAUUGGAGAAUUGCAGCAGGAUAGUGCUGGGAAUGGGAUAGCUAAAGACAGUUUUUGUUACCAAAAAGAAAAAUCUGUCUUCUAAAAGAUCCCAAUCCAUCGGUACAUCAACUACAAGAUUCAACAAAUAAUUAUAUGCACGAUGUUACACUCCCUAUACAUACCCCAAACCAAAAGAAAAACAACUAUCAACUUUAAACAGAGCACAACAAAAUAAAUAAACACAUCUCAAAAUCUGUAUAGCAUAAACUAGUCCGUUUUAGUAGAUGUUGAAAUGGAGUUGAGUGAGAAAGGGCAUGGUGGAUCAGGAACUUGGAUUGCUCCAUCAAGCAUCAUUGUAACAAUCCUCAUGGAGGGCCUUAACAUUGGCUCUUCUUGAACGCACCAAAUCCCCACUUUUAAUAACUUCUCCAAUUUCCCAACAUCAUUUCUAGCUUCUUCAUCGUCUUCAACUAGUUUUUCAAUCAUCCCUUCGCUGUAACACUGAAAAACCCAAUCUGUUAAUAUUGCUGCUUCCUCCAUUUCAACUUCCACACAUCUUCUGCAACAUAUGAUCUCUAAUAACAUUACCCCGAAGCUGUAAACAUCGACCUUGACCGUAACCGGGAUGUUUCGAAACCAUUCUGGUGCUACAUAGCCUUUUGUCCCUCGUAUGCCGGUUUUCGUUCGUGUUUUGUCGUUCAUAAGAAGCUUUGCCAACCCGAAAUCGGAUAUUUUCGCGGUGAGGGAUUCGUCUAAUAGUAUGUUUUGUGGCUUUAUGUCGCAAUGGAUAAUUUGUUUGCUGCAUUCUUCGUGUAAGUAUGUGAGGCCUUUUGCAAUCCCUGAUGCAAUUUGCAGUCUUUGUUGCCAACUAGGCCUUAAAAUUCCGAAAAGGAAGCUUGACAAUGAUCCGUUUUCCAUGAACUCGUAGACCAAAAGUCUAUGUUCGGCUUCAUCACAGUAGCCAGUUAGUCUCACCAAGUUCUUGUGGUGAGUUUGGCCGAUGACCUUCACUUCAGUUUUGAAUUCCCUUUCGCCGUCUUGAGCAAACUUGUCGAGUUUCUUGACUGCAAUACGAUCUCCAUAGCUUGAUGGCAAUUCUCCUUUAUAAACCGUGCCGAAAGCUCCCCUUCCAAGUUCUUCUUUGAAUCCGUUCGUGGCAUGUUCGAGGUCUUUGUAUGUGAAAAACUGCAGAUUAGUCUCUAAAUCUCUUCUGCUAUGAGCACCUUUCAAUUCCCCGAGCCUUCUUCGGAAUAAGCAGAAGAAGAUCAUAGAAAUUGCAGCUAAAGAAAAGAAGUUGAAAAUUGCAGAGGUGCCUAACAGAACUGCAAGGAUCAAUACAACUUCAUUUUGAUUAUCGUCACUCCGGUUUGACUUGGUCGGGCUUUUCGUCGAGGCAUCCGACUUUAGUACCUUAAAUAGAGCUGUUCGAUCAACAGACUCUCUGUCGAACCAUCCGUUGGAAAGUGGUAUUUUCUUUUUCCAGCAAGUUCCAUUGCCAUCUUUGCUUAGAGUUGGAUCCUGCAAAAUGGCAACCGCACAAGAACAAUCAAGAAGGCAAGAUUGCUUACAUUCCAACUCAGUUGCAGGUUUAAUUACUCCAUAGUCACCCAAAGGAAAAUCCGCAAACGACAUUGGCUUGAACUCGAACCGAUCUUCCCCGAUGGUGGAUCCAUCAGGGUUGCAAUCUGCAGGGUAGCUUGCAUAAUCCUGUUUGCAACCUGCAUAUUGAUUGUUGUCAUCCAAGAAAGAAAAUCCAGGGGGACAUGUACAAUUAGGCCUCCCCUGAAUAGGUUCACAAAUGCUGUUAUAACCGCAAGGUCCAGUUCCGAACGUAGCCCUUCCGGAUGUAAUCGUUGAGUUGAUAAAGCGACGACAUAUGUUCAUCGGCCUAAACCACAACACGGACCAGCUUCCACCCCCACUGGGGUUCCUUGGAUAAUAAUAGAGAUUGAAAACACCAUAAAAGUCAAGUGUCGCCCUGUAGUAGUACAAGUCCGGUUUCGGAACAGCAUUUAUCGGUGCAACCUCAACUAGAGUUCCGUUCAGAUUCUGGAUUCGGAUAUACCCUGACUCGGUGAAGACCAACCGAGAACCGUUCCCGAAAUUAAAGUAAGCUUCGUAAGGUUUUCCUGUGAACAUAUCUAUUUGAUUCAGUAUGAAAGAUUCACUAUUGAAACGAAGCUGAUACUUCCCCUUACUGUAACUUGUUUCAACCAGAGUUGAUAAAAGAUGGUCACCCAUAUCAAGUUCUUGUGAAGGUAAGAUGGUGUCAGUUGGAUAUUUGAAGCUCUCCCAUAUGUUGGUCGAGUUUUUGCUUGCGAUCACGAAGUUGCCGGUGUCGAGCAUGGCUGCAUGGGACACUUGAGAACCAUCAGUAAGGCGUUGAGACCUCCAUAGCUCUUUGCCUUUAGGGUCUUUAAGCACGAGAUGACCGCUGUUAUCGAGCUCAAUCGUGGAGUCUCGAUCGGUUUCAGGGUUAUCUCGAUUAGCAUACCAGACUAUAGUUCUUUCUUGUAUCUUAGCAUACCAGAUAGCAAGAAGAAACCGGUCUUGUUUAGUAGGAAUGGAUUGAAACCCGAAGGCAAAAUCACCAGAUGGUGAUUGCCAAGCCAUGGUUUUAUCAUUUGCAGAUAAGGAAUCACCUACACUUACAUUUCUUUGAGCCUCAACUGUUGCAAGUAUCCAAAGGAUGCUUGCAAGGAUAAGCAGGGAAAGAUGGCUAUAGAAAAGUGGUGAAACCAUUGCCAGGUGUUCACCAAAAUGGGAAAAACACAAUGACCCACUGAGGUAAAGAGAGUGAAUAAAAAGGGGUAGGAUUUGUUGGCUGCUGGUGUGGGGAGGAAGAAGAGGAAUUUUGAUACGGCACAUGCUUUGACAAAUCUAAGUUCUUGCAUUAACGUCAAUGUGUUUUACAGGUGUUUCGAUGAUUACAGAAAAUUAUUGGAAAUGGUGCAAUCAGUGUGGACCCUCCUUACAAAUUUUAUAGUGAUAUUUGGUAUCUGUUUAGGUUGAAACUUUGGAAAACGCAAGUGACCUUGACAAUGGCGGUUUUCAACGUUGAAUUUGGAGCUUUGCUUUUGAAAUUUUGUUUUAGCUUAAUUAGCUGCUCAAAGCAGCAAAGUAUGUGUCCAAAAAUUAUUCCAACAUAAAUAUAAAAAAUAUGAUGCUCAGGAGAACUUUUCAAAAAAAAUUGAAGUGUGUUUGAACAAAAAUCUUAAAAAUAGUCCUUUUAAACGAGUUCAACCCAACGGUGAUAACUAUAGUAAGAGUUUUUAUAAUGAAAAUAAAGAAAAUUCAAAUAUUAUCAACCAUCGUAUUAAAAUAAUUUUUUUAAAUUAUUGAUUUAUCAUUUAUCUCGAUUUUUUUCAUUUUCAUUUUAUUGUUUAAAUAAGGAGAUAAAUUUGUGCAGAAUUCUAAUUUUUAAUUAAUUCUUUUUCAGCCUAAUUUGCAUCGUUAAAUCUAUCUGCAUAAAAUUAUUACACCUCUUGUAUAAUUGAUCAUAACCAAGAGUUUCUUUCACAAUGUAAAAUCUUUUUCGUCACAUAUGAUAAUAUCAGGAUAUAUUCAUUUGAUUCUAAUUUUAUAAAUAAACUAGAAUCUGAGUCGGAUACUCAGAAACCACAAAAGAUAAUAUAUCGAACAACUUUAUCAUACUAUAUUCUUUGUGCUUUCUUUAAGUCAUAAAACGCUUUUAUCAAAUGAUAAACAUAAUUUAAAAGUUCCAAAGUUAAAAGAUUGCUCUAUAAAAGCAACAAGUGAUUAGAUUGAAUAUCUUCAUAAUUUUGAGAAAAUUCACAUGCUUUCAACUUGUCGAUGGUACUAUUUGACAGAUUCUUCAAACGAAAGACCCAUUUUCAAGUGAUUAGCCUGCACUUUUUUGGUUUAGGUACCAACUCUCGUGUCGUGUUUUUGUCUAAAGCCUCAAUCUCUUCUUACCUUUUGCUUCGUCAUAAUUUUUUUGUUCUUACGCAUUAAAAGCUUUCAUAAAAAAAAAACAUGAGGUUACCAUGCAAUUGUUAAGUUGUACAUCAUAAUCUUAAAGAUAUUUAGGUUGCUUCGUCUCCCGUAUAGACCUUCGUAUUACUCGUUGCUCACCAUUAUGUCUAUGAAUAUUCUACCUUGAGGUUAGACAUUUAUUUUACUUAUCCUCAUUAGUGGCUGCAUGCAGUUUAUCCAAGUUUUCACCAUUGCAUUCAACAAUAAUAUUUUCUACAUAACAUGAUAAUUUAUUAAACACCACGUUUUUAAAAGUAGUAAAUUUUUUUUUUAUUUAUGGAUCUAUACACCUCUAAAAAAAUUCAUAGUUCACAAAUACAUAUUUCUUUACUUUUGGGUCAAAUUUAAUUGUAUUAAAUUUUAUUCAAAAAUAACUCACAUUUGACUUUUCAUUGUAUAAAGUCUCAAAAAGGGAGAUUUCUAUGUACCUAAUCAAAGAAACGACCUAUUUGUCACUUUCACAUCCAACAACUCAACUCAAAUUUCCCAAGGAAGAUUCUUGUCAUGCAACUAAGAAAAACAAAUUGAAACAAGAUAACAAGUUUUCUUCUUACAACUCUAUUUUGUAGAAGAGUGCAUGGACAAGUCAUCUGACGAAGAAUGCCAUAAUCUUCACAAUAUUGAAAAAAUUCAUCCUACAAGUAUUCCCUAUGUAACAAUCAUUUUUUAAUAGUGUCGGAAACAGUGAUUUUAAUACCAUAAUCCCAACGAGUGAAUUUAUAAAUAUUAUUAUUUAAUAUUUACGAGUCAAAUAAUAUAGUAUAGUAGUGAAUUUUGAUUUGAUAAAAUUUACUAAUUGGACGGUUAAUUAAAGUACAAGUGGUUUGAACUUUAAGUCAAUGAUUUUAGAAAAUAAGGUAUCGAGACAUCGUUUCUAUAAAUCAAGCCCGUAAAUAUUUUUAUUAAAUAUUUAUGGAUUUGUUAUAUAGGUGAAUUAAAUUUUGGUUCGAUAAUUAAGGUAUAAGGACUAAAUCGUGAAAAUUUUAAAAAAUUAAUCACUAUUGAUUUUACUAGAUAAAAGGUUCAAUUAAAAAUUGUGCAGGGGUUUAAGUGGUAAUUAAACUACAUUUCUUUUAAGUGGACGGUUAGUGUUUAGCUUUUUGUUUAAAUUAUAUGUUAAAAAUUAAAUUAAAAAUAAAAUCUAAAUGAUAAUAAAACAUAAAAACAAAGGAAAACAUCAUCAUCAUUUUAAUUCACCACCCAAUUUUCGAACCAAAAACACAAGACACCAGUUUUGAAGGCUUCACGUUCGGUCAAGUUUUCCUCUUUGCACGGAAGUUUAAUUAAGGUAUGUUUUUAGUAAUUUUUAUAGAUUGAAGAGCGUUGUAGCUCAAUCUAACUAGUCUGGGUAUUAAAUCAUAAAACUUUCAAAGUUUUAAAAAGUUAUCAUUGUUGAUUUUUGAGGUUUUUGAUGUUAAAUGGUUGAGUUUGAAGCUUUAUUAUGAAAUAAAACCAUUUUGUAAAGUAAACUUUGUUAGUUUUGAAUUAGGGAUUAAAAUGCAAAUGUGUUGAAAUUGUCAUGAAAUUUUUAUAAAUAUAGAUGAUUGACGGUUGUAUAAGGAUGAGAUUAAAGGUUUGGGGUUUGAACGUGUAAAAUAUGAUUGUUACAGUUUUAAAGAUUAAAUUGAAUAAAAAUAAAAGUUUAAGAAAAUUGUGAAAAAGUGCUUGGAAUUGAUAAUUGAAAAUAAAGUAUUAUAAAGAUAAAAAAACAGGUAAAUAAUCGAGAAAAAAGAAAAGUACAGAUUAGUUCUUAACAUUUCUGCUUUUAUUAUUUACCUUGAUAAGUUCAUACAAUAUAAUUAUACAUAUUUUUAUAAUUAAAAAUAUUGAAAAUGGAGUGAAUGAGUGUGGACCCACUUUACAAAUUUUAUAGUCAUAUUUGGUAUAACAACAUGGUCAAAGUCGUCGGUCAUUGGGUUUACUAUUUCUAAAAGAACAAAAAAAGGCUUUUUCACCCAAUUAAUCCAAACCAUUUUUAAAAUUCUAAUAAGAAUAGUCUAAAAUAAAUAGUCAUUUAUAUUUUAUAAAAUACAGGAGAAAAAAAGAGUUUUUAAACCCCUAACAGUGAGCAGCCAUUAGACAAAAAAAAAAAUCCAAUCUCCCUCAAAAUUUUCAUCCCAAAACAGAUAGACAAAUUAUUCUUCAAAUUGGAAUUUUUUUAUUCAUUAUCUCUGUAUAUUAUCAACAUUCGAUAAUACUAUAAUAUAUUCAUUUGAUUCUAAUUUUAUACAUAAAUUAAGAUGGGAGUCAAAAACUCUAAAACCACGAAAGAGGAGAUAUUAAGCAAAUUUACCCUACCAUAUGCUCUUGAUGCUUGCAUUAAGCCUUAGAAUGCUUUCUUCCAACAAUAGACGUAAUUUGAAAUUUGCUUAGAGCCAAAGUUAAAAGUUGCUCUAUAAAUACAUCAUGAUCCAAUUCUUUUUACUUCAAGUUGUCAUAGUUUUCAACCUUUAAAAGCAGCAAAUGAAAUAAUUGAUUGCACCGUCACCAUUUUAACUACUGGCUAAAUGUUUCCUUAUAGUCCCAUUCAUAGUUUUGAGAAAACUCACUCGGUUUCAACUUGUCUAUGAUACAAUUUGACCUUUUCUUCAAACGAAAGAUCCAUUUGCAAGUGACUGGCUUACACAUUUUUAGUUUAGGUAACAAGUCUCAUGUCUUGUUUUUGUCUAAAGCCUCAAUCUCUUCUUUCGUUGCUAUUUCUUAAUUUUACCACUUGAUCCUCCACUUCCUUCAUGACUCGCCAUUCUCAAGAAUAUUUGAAGGAUUUGUUUCAUUGGUGCUAGUAGUCCUCACCUUGAACAUUCAUACACAUCCUCCAACACUUUAGUUAUUGCUUACAAGUUUCUUCAUACCAUUCUAAGUUGUUCCUAUACAUUUGAGAGUUCCAUUGCAACCAACACAAAAGCUUUUUUCUCGCAUUUUCGAGCUUCUCCAACAAAAUAAAGUUGAUAAAUAAAAAGAUUGAACAAUCGGAGAACCUGACAUUGUAUUCCAUAAAAAAAAAAAGCAAGCAAAAAUAGCAAUAAAUAAACUUGUGAAAAUAGAUGUACUUAACUCUUUAUUGAAAGAGCUAAAUCCACUAAGCUACUUUCCGCGUAUGUUUCCAUGGAACACAACAUAUUCAUCAACACUAAAUCAUUAUCUAAAACGAAACAAAUAAAUGACUAAAACUAGAUAUGUUUACUACUACUAACCAUUAUCUAAAAUUAACUAAAAAUAAGCUGUUGGAAAUUGUACUACUUUUUUAACCUAUUCCCAGUCCAGCUUUAACAACAUUCAAAACUAGAUCAUUUUCGUAGACACAGACAUUGACAUUGAAUUGAGUGGAAAAAGGCAUGGUGGAUUAGGAACUUGGACAACACCUUCAAGCAUCAUUGCAACAAUCCUCAUGGAAGGCCUUAACAAUGGAUCUUCUUGCACGCACCAAAUAGCCACUUUUAAUAACAUCUCCAAUGUCUCAACAUCAUUUCUAGCUUCUUCAUCAUUUUCAACCAGUUUUCCAAUCAUCCCUUCGCUGUAACACUGGAAAGCCCAAUCUGUUAAUAUUGCUGCUUCCUCCAUUUCAACUUCCACACAUCUUCUGCAACAUAUGAUCUCCAACAACAUCACCCCAAAGCUGUAAACAUCAACCUUGACAGUAACCGGGGUGUUUCGGAACCAUUCUGGUGCUACGUAGCCUUUAGUCCCUCGUAUGCCGGUCUUGGUUCGGGUUUUGUCGGUCAUCAGAAGCUUUGCCAACCCGAAAUCGGAUAUUUUUGCGGUGAAGGACUCAUCCAAUAGUAUAUUUUGUGGCUUUAUGUCACAAUGGAUGAUUUGUUUGCUGCAUUCUUCAUGCAAGUAUGCAAGGCCUUUUGCAAUCAUUGACGCAAUUUGCAAUCUUUGUUGCCAACUAGGCCUUGGAACUCCGAAAAGGAAGCUUGACAAUGAGCCAUUUUGCAUGAACUCAUAGACCAGAAGUCUAUGUUCAGCUUCAUCACAGUAGCCAAUUAGCCUCACCAAGUUCUUGUGGUGAGUUUGGCCGAUGACCUUCACUUCAGUUGUGAAUUCCCUUUCACCAUCUUGAGCAAACUUGUCUAGUUUUUUCACUGCAACACAAUUUCCAUAGAUUGAUGGCAAUUCUCCUUUAUAAACGGUGCCAAAAGCUCCUCUUCCAAGUUCUUCACUGAACCGGUUCGUGGCAUGCUCGAGAUCUUUGUAUGUGAAAAACUGCAGAUUAGUCUCUAAAUCUCUUCUGCUAGGACUACGAACACCAUUUAAGUCGUGAACUCUUCUUCGGAAUAAGCAGAAGAAGAUUAGAGAAAUUGCAGCUAAAACUCCAAAGGUGCCUAAGAGAACCGAAAGGAUCACAAUAGCUUGAUUACUCGGCGUGGCCGGUUUUUUCUUUGAGGCAUCCGGUUGUUUCUUUGAGGCAUCGGACUUAAGUACCUUAACUAGAACUGUACUAUCAAGACCAUCUUCUCUGUGCCCAUUUGAAAGCGGAAGUUGCUUUUUAAAACAAGUUGCAUUGCCAUUAUUCUUUGUAGUUGGAUAAAUGGCAACUGCACAAGAACAGUCACGAAGACAAGAUUGCUGACAUUCCAACUCAGUUGCAGGGUAAAAUAUUCCAUAGUCACUCAAUGGAAAAUUAACAAAUGAAAUAUUCUGGAAUUCGAACCGGUCUUCCCCAAUGGUGGAUCCAUCGGGGCUGCAAUCUCCAGGGUCGCCUGCAUAAUCUUGUUUGCAGCCUGCAUAGUGAUUAUUGUCAUCCAAGAAAGAAAAUCCAGGGAGACAUGAACAAUUUGGCCUCGCAUCGAUAAGUUCGCAGAUGCCAUUACAACCACAAGGGCCAAUUCCAUAUCUAUUCUGUCCACGUGAAAGUGCUGAACCGACAAACGCACGACAUAUGUUCGGUGGCCAAGCCUUGGACACAGACCAGCUUGCACCACCACUGGGGUUCCUUGGAUAAGAAUACAAAGUGAAAACUCCAUAAAGGUCAAGUGUCGCCCUGUAGUAGUAUAAGUCUGGUCUUGGCUCAACAUCUUUUGUCACAUUGUCGACUAGAGUUCCAUUCGAAUUCCAGAUUAGAAUAUCCCCCGUGUCGUUGUCGAAGGCCAACCGAGAACCGUUUCCCGAGGGGAAACUAAAGUAUUCUUCGUAAGGUUUGCCAGUGAACAUAUCUAUUUGAUUAAGCACAAGAGAUCCAUUAGUUUUGAAACGAAGUUGAUAUUUUCCCUUACCAUAAUUUGUUUGGGCUGAUACAAGACUGCCAUCAACACCCAAUUCUUGAGACGGUAAGAUGGUAUGAGUUGGAUAGUUGAAGCUCUCCCAUAUGUUGGUUGAGUUUUUGCUGACAAUAACGAAAUUCCCCGUGUCAAGCAUGGCUGCAUGGGACAAUUGAAAAUCAUCAGUAGCCCUCUCAGACCUCCACAACUCUUUUCCUUUAGAGUCGUUAAGAACAAGAAAACCGGUCUCGGUGAGUUCCACCGUCGAUCCUCUAUCGGUUUCGGGGUUAUCUCUAUUAGCAUACCAGACUAUAGUUAUUUCUGGUAUAUUAGCAUACCAGAUUGCAAGAAGAAACCGAUCUUUUUUACUAGUAAUGGGGUGAAAACCAAAGGCAAAAACACCUGAUGGCGAUUGCCAGGUGGUGUUUGUAUCAUCUGCAGCAAGCGACUUGCCUACAGUUACAUUUGCUUGAGCCUCAACUGUUGCAAUAAUCCAAAGGAUGCUUGCAAGGAUAAACAGGCAAAGAUGGCUAUGAAAAAGUGGUGAAAUCAUUGAGUCUCUCCCACUAGGUGUUCAACAAAAUGAAAGAACUAUGAAGUAUGAACCUUGAGAUCAUUGAAUCUAACGCAGUGAUUAAAAAGGGAAAUGGAAUUUUCAGGUGCUGGUUUUGUGAGGAAAGUAACUUCCUGGAAAGUGGAAAAUGGAAAAAUUCAGCUGAUGAAACUUCAACAAUGACUUGGCUUUGCACAUGCUAUGACCUUUCUAAAUUCUUGCGUUGCACUGUCAUGAUCGGCACCUGGCUGGUUGAGGGUGUUGUUUUAAAGAUGUAUGACUAUUAUUACAACAAAAAUGGUUUACAGUCACGUCAGUUUUGGAGACCGAAACAAAAUGUUCAAAGUCGUGCACGCAUUAAAUGAAAUCUUCAUGGAGCAAAAUAACCUAUGAAUUGACAUUUCACUAUAUCUUUUCACUUAAGAUUUUUAUUUGAGGAAAAUUCAAAUACGAAAUUUGUAGACGGUCAUUUGAUGUGAUACUUGAAUUUGUCCUUAGUAUUUAUGAUUUUUCUUUCUCAAUUCGAAAUUUUUAUUGUUUAAAAAUCAACAUACGCAUUUGAUUCAGUUUUAGCUCGAUUGACAUGAAUAUUAUUAUCAAUACAAGAAGACGUGAUUUCGAAUGCGCUCAAUCGCAUUAUCUUCUUAUUUAUCAAAAUUUUAUCAAGAAACCAACAAAUUUUCUUCCCAUUUUUUUUUUGUUUUUACUUCAAAUUAUUUGUAAUAAAAAAAUCUUAUUAAAUAAAUUUACAUGAGAGAUAUAGUUUUAAGGUUGGGUGGCUUGAACUUAAAAUGAAAGGUGAAAUGCAAAAGAUGUAACAGCCCGUUUUCAGUGAAAUUGGAACAGUAAUUUCGAGACCACAAAUCCGAGAUCGUAAGAAAAAAAUAUUUUAAUAUUAUUGUAUGGUUUGCAUAAUGAUAGAAAUAUCGUAUGAAAAUUUCGUAAAGAAUUUUUUACCUAUUACAUGUUUAAUUAGAUAAAAAGGACCAAAUUGCAUAAAAUGCAAAAUUGGAGUUCUAGUAGCUAUAGAUAUCAAAUAGCUAUGGAAUUCAAAAUUGGAGGUCCUUAUAUGGAAACUAGACCAUUAAGAGGAGUUAGUAGAUAAUUAUGAUGAUUCAUCCUUGAAAAAUUAAAUACAGAAAAGGAUGAAAUUGGAAAGUAAAAAAUAAUAAAAGAUGAUAAAUGAUAAAAUAAUGAAAAUAUCAUUAUUUUCAUCCUCUUUCCCAAAAUUAAAACAUGGAAACCCUAGACAUGGAAACCUAAGCUCAAGCCAACUUAUUUUGCUUAAUUAGGUAUGUUUAUUUGUCCCCUUUUUAGUAAUUUUUAUUUGCAAAGUUAUUAAGGUAUUAAAGUUUUUCCAUGGAUGAAUAUGUAUGAAUUAUGAAGUUUUAUGGUAGAAAAUGAAAGGUUGUUGAUAGAUAAACAACUUUUGUAAAGUGAACUUUGAUGAAAUUGUGAUUUAGGGACUAAAUUGUAAAGAUGAAAAAUUUUUAGAAAAAAUUUGAAUUUUGUGAAAUACAUGGGCUGCUAAUGUUAGGUCUAAAAAUUGGUUAGGCUUGGAAUAAUGAUUAGAUUCCAUAAAUUUCAUUUUUCAAGCCUAGGGACGAAAUAGGAAUUAAUUAAAAGUAUAGGGGCAAAAUGGUAAUUUUGCCUAAGAUGUGAAUUGGAUUAAAUUGAAUGUAAAUUGUAUUAAAUUGAUGUUAAAUCCAUUCGUAUAGAUAUGGAUAGAUCAAAUACGGGGUUAAAUCGAGGAAAAGAGAAAGUAGUGGAUUAGUAACUUUUGUGUGCAGGAAUAUUGUCGAGGUAAGUUCGUGUAACUAAAUUAUAUAUUUAUAUGUUUGAAUCGAAUGUUGUGCAUGUGAUUGUAUUAUUUCCAUGUAUAUGAAAUUAAUCACAUAUCAAACGAUGACCGACAAGUAUUAAUUCCCGUUUGAAUAAAUGAAAUUCGAUGGACACAGGGUUCCCAAAUUGGUUGUGAUCUUGCAUGUGUUGCGGGCACACCACAGCUCAAAAGAGCGUCCCGCUAUUAGCUCUCAUGAGCUUCCCAUUAUAUGGUUCUUGCGAGCUUCCCUUUAAUAGCUCUUCGGAGCAUCCUGUUUGGUUAUGAUCCUGCAUGUGUUGUGGACACAUCAUAGCUCUUAUAAGCGACCUGAUACAUGGUUUUUCGGAGCUUCCCGAUUAAAGGCUCUUUCAUGAACUCCCCGAUUAUUUAACUCUCCGGAGCUUUCCGAUAUUGGCUCGCUUGAACCUUUUUGAUAUUAGCUCGUAUGAGCUUCCCGUUAAUGGCUCUCUAGAGCUUCUCGUUUUAUGGCUCGAAAGAGCUUCCCGUUUGCAUAUUUGCAUGAGCAUUCAUGUAUAUGAUUUGACAAAUUAUAGUUUUGUACACCUUGUGUGUACUUACUGUGUAUCCAUCGAUAUUUUCAAUGAUUCAAUGGACAAAAUCCUGACAUGAGAAAAAUAUGAGUACUAAAUGAAUCAUUUCCCAUACAACAUUGAAAUACAUAGAAUUGAUAUCUGUGAAUACAAGAUGUGGGUAAUUUAUGAACACGGAAAUUUGAUAUUUGAUGAGCUCAUGUUUCUUGAAAUUCAUACGAAAUACAUGACUAACUUGUUUGAUGAGGAUAUGUGUUUAGGAUAUUGGCUAAAUUGCUUUGGAUGCAUUUUGUGUGCUUACCUUAUAUGUAAAUGAAUGGUAAGUUAAUUUUCCGUUAUAUGAACUUACUAAGCUCUAAAGCUUACUCUGUUUAUUUUCUCCUGUUUUAUAGUACUUGAAAGCUUGUUAAAGUUGAAAGCUGGUCGGAGACACAUCACACUAUCCAUUAACCCAUUUCAGAACAAAUAUAAAACUAAUUUUGGUUAUAAUGACAUGUAUAGGUUAAUUGGCCAAUGUUGGCAAGUAAAUGUUUUGUUGAGAUUAGCCAUUUGAAUGGCUAGUGUUUGGUACAUUUUGAUAUAUAUAUGUAUGUGGUAUCAUAAAUUGGGGGUGUGUGUGUGUGGAUGAAUGAAUGAAAGUGAAAUGGAGAUUGAAUAUGCAUAUGAGUAUUAGGUAGCGAUAAAAAUAAAUUGUCACUUGAGGUGCCUAAAGGCACAUUAAUAUGUCAUGUUUAAGACAUGAUUUUGGUAUGUUUGGAGUGCUUUGAUAUGGUUUGUAAAUGAGAAAUUUAUUGUGAUAGGUUGAUGCCAAAAAUUGGGUGAGAAAAUUGGCUUGGGAAAUGACCUAUUUUCGUCCACACGGGCGUGUGUCUCAGCCGUGUGUGACACACGGCCUAGCACAUGGGCAUAUGAUUUGGUCGUGUGUCCCUUGCAUCUUAAAAAUUAAGAAAAAGAAUACUCAAAAUUAUCCACACUGCCUAGCACACGGGCGUGUGUCCCUUGCAUCUAGGAAAAUUUUUGACAUUUUGCGAAAAAUUCUCUGAGUACCUGGUUUAGUCCCGACUUAUUUCUAAUGCAUAUUUUGGGCCCCGAGAACUCUUAUAAGGGACAUUGUGAUUCACUAUAAUUAAUUUCUAAUAUGAAUUAGAAAUUGUAUGAAAUGUUUGUAUUUGAUCUGUAAAUUUUGGUAAUGCUCUGUAACCAUGUUCCGGCGACGGAUAUGGGUUGGGUAUUAUAGAAGACAAAGUUGAUUUUUUUCACGUUGAUUUUCUAGAAAUAAGAAUUGCAGGGACGUUUUUUAGUGGAAAAAGGAAAAUUGUUAAAGACAAAAUGUUAUUUAGGGUGAACAUUUGAUCGUAUCAAAUUAAGUGAAAAUAUUUCAAGUUAAUAAAAUUGGUGAGUCCUAUUUUAUUAUUCUAACUUGAUUUGAAUUUUUUCGAUUUAAGGAAAAUUGUUUAAGUUAAAUUAAAAUCUUAUUACAGGAACAUAAUUUUUUUUUGAAAAAGGUUGCAGAUUGGGCUUCUAUUAAAUAAAACAUACUAACAUAAAUAGUUUUUAAAAAUAAAGAAAAGGAAGACCAGACAUGGGACCUGACCCAUUCAAAAGAAACUAAAUCAUAAAAAACUAAAGCUCCUAGGAAACCGUAAAAAUCAAAACAAAUCUAAAGCAUUUAAUGUUGCUUGUUCACUUGCCCAAUCAGUGUCAGAUCCAUCAUCUUUUCAUUUCAAAUCUUCGUUUUCUUUUUCAAGACGAUUUCAAUCUACCACCAGCAGACUUUAAUUAAUCUGUUUCUGCCCUCUCAUAUUCUCCUUAUCUCCCUUCCUCCCCAUUUUCGAUUCAAUUUGGUUCUCUUACCCUUUCACUUGCGGCUUGUUCUUCCGCCACUUCAGGGACCCCUCCGACCAGGUAAACUCCUAUCUUUCUCUUCAGCGUUUCUUUUGCUAGGAUAUGUGCAAGGCUAUUUGCUGAUCUCGGGAUAUAUUCAAAUCUGCAUUCUUUAAUUUUUAGCUGUAGUUGGUGAAUAUCAUGGAUAUAUGCACUUACCAAGGAUUUAUCUGGACUUUUUACCUUGCAUUUUCUUAUAAAUGAAAAAGAGUCACCUUCUAUAAUAACACUUUCCCAUUUCAUGUCAAUGACGAGUUGGAGAGCUUUCCGACAUGCGACUGCUUCCGCCUCAAAAGCUGAUGAUAUUCGGUGGUGAUUCUCCUCACAUGAGAGAAGAACUGUACCCUCUCUAUCUCUGGCCACUAUACCCACUGCCGAUCUAUUUUGUCUAUCGUCAUAAGCUCCAUCGAAGUUAAUCUUAACAAUCCAGUCAGGUGGCUUCCUCCAUUUUUUGACAGUUAUGGUAACUUUUGGUCUUCUUUUAUCAACCUCAUUUAACUCUGUUAUGUAACUCUGAACAUAUCUUGCCAUUUCUUUUCCAGAUUUACCCCCGUUCUUAUGAACCCUAGCAUUCCUAUCUCCCCAGAUAGCCCAUAGUGUGCAGCAGAAGAUCCGGCACUGAGAUUUCGAACUCUUCGAGAAAACCCAGGUAAGCCAUUGAGAGAAAUCCCUCUGAUUAUCAUGUAGAAAUUGAUGAAAUGAUAGCUCACUCCAUACUGACUCUGAAACAGGGCACUUACGAAAAAGAUGAUCCGUAUUCUCUUCACCUAAACCACAACGGGGGCACACAGUUGUAUUCGUUAGUUUCUUAAUUACCAUAUUAGCUCAUGUAGCUAGAAAAUUCCACGAGAUUUUCCACACUGUAAUUUUAAUCUUAGAGGGUAUAUUCAGUAACCAAAGCUUUCUGUAAAAGUCCUUGUAGUCCUCCUGUAACGCAUAAGCGUUAGGAUUAUCUUCAUUACCCUGUAAUAGUUUAUAGGCACUGCGCACUGUGUAUUCGCCCGACGCCUCAGCACGCCAGACUUGUAAGUCUUCAUAAGGUACCUCUGACAGCGGGAUACUCAGAAUCUUCUCAGCAACGUCCUCCGAAAAGGUAGACUCGAUUAACUCCUUGUUCCAUGUUCUGUUUCUAGGAUCGAUAAAAUCUGCAACUCUAGUAUCGUUUAAGUUUAAAUCCAAACAUGAUAACCUUCCGAUAGAUCUAGAAUCCAAUAAUCACCAGUAACAGAAAUAUUCAUGCUGCUGCCCACCUUCCAGCCUACUCCCUCCGAUACCACACCCUUAGUGGCCCAAAUACUUUUCCAAGUAUACGAAACAUUAUUCCCCAACUGCGAAUUUAAGAAAUCAACAUUUGGAAAAUAUUUUGCUUUUAAAACUUGUGCUACUAAAGAGUUCGGAUUAUUCCAAAUUCGCCACCCUUGUUUGGCCAGUAAUGAUAUGUUGAAUUGGGCCAAAUUUCUAAAACCCAAACCACCUUCUUCUUUAGGCCUACAUAAAUACUUCCAUUGACACCAAUGAAUACCACUUUUACCAUACGCUUUCUGCCACCAGAAUUUAGCAUAGAUAUUUUCAAUAUCUCUACACAUAGUCUUCGGUAAUAAAAACACGACAUAGCAUAAGUUGGGAUGGCUUGCAAAACUGAUUUUAUAAAGACUUCCUUCCCCCCUUGGGAUAACACUCUUGUAAACUAUCAAUUCUAGUGGAAAUCUUCUAUCUUAAUUGCUGAAAGGAUUCUUUCUUACGUCUACCCACAACAUUCGGAAGCCCCAAAUAACGUUCUAUAUUUAUUGAAACCCUUACCCCCAGUAUUGCCGAAACUUCUUUCUUCUUAUCCUCAGAGGUAUUUGUGCUAAAAAAUAUGGAAGAUUUAUUAAAAUUAACGCAUUGCCCAGAGCACUUCUCAUAUUCCUUUAAGAUUUCUUUCAUCGCAGUCGCCCUCUUCUCUGUUGCCUCCCCAAAUAGAAUGCAAUCAUCUGCAAAAAGCAAAUGUGAUAUUUCUGGGCUUCUUCUACUAGCCUUAGCACCCCGUAUCAAUCCCCUUUUUGAAGCCAUUCUCAUCAAGGCUUAUAAUCCCUCACUGCAUAUUAAAAAUAGAAAAGGACUCAGUAGAUUUCCUUGACGCAAACCUCUAGAUGGUCUAAAGAUUCUGCCCCUUUCACCAUUAGUAUUAACUGCAAAAGACGUUGAGGUAACACAUCUCAUAACCAGCUCCACCCAUUCAGUCGCAAAACCCAUACAUAGCAUCACUUCUUUCAAAUAGCCCCAUUCAACUUUAUCAUAGGCUUUGCUUAUGUCCAGUUUAACUACCAUAUAUCCUUUUUUCUCGGUACGCUUCUGUCUAAAAGUAUGCAAGAUCUCAUAAGAAACUAAUACAUUGUCGGUUAUUAACCUUCCCGGAACAAAUGCACUCUGAGCAGCAUCAAUACAAUUUUCGAUUACUCCUUGGAGUCGAUUAACAAUUGCUUUUGCAACUAUCUUAUAGAUAACCGAGCACAAGCUAAUGGGUCUAAAGUUAACUAUAGUAAUAGGAUUUGGGGUUUUUGGAAUCAACACUAUAUCCGUUUGGUUAAAGGUAUCAAUACUUGCACCAUUAUUUAAAACUUCCAAGCAAAAAUUAUUAAUAUCCUUACCGACGAUAGGCCAAAAUUACUGAUAAAAAAUUACUGGAAAUCGGUCAUAUCCUGGUACUUUUGUAGGUCCCAUUCCUUUUAAAGCUGCAACCACUUCUUCUGUUGAAAAAGGCUUCAUCAAUUCACUAUUAAUCUCUGUCGAAAUAUUAUUCCUGAUGCCUUUUAAGAGAUAAGAUGAAUCCCCAAUCCCAUUUGUCGUGAACAACUUCUGGAAAUAUGAUGUAGCUACCUCACUAAUUUCACUCGCUGCAUUAGCUUCACCACAUCCAACUUUUUUUAAUUUGGCAAUAUGGUUAACACGCUUUCUGUAUGUCGCAAACCUAUGAAAGAAAGCUGGGUUCUUAUCACCUACUUUAAGCCAGUUUGCUCUUGCCCUUUGUUCCCAAUACCUUUCAUCUUUAUCAAUUUCCAUAUUUAACUGUAACUUCGUAUCAAUAAUUUCCCCCAACAUGUCGCCAGUCCUCUCUUUUGCCAUUAACGUAUCAAGAUGCUUCAUGAGUCUUGCCUUAAGCCCCUCUCGCCCACUUUUAAUCAUCCUCGCCCAUGCUGUUAAAUCUAACCGUAAUCUUUCAAGUUUCUCCACUACUGUACCAGUUCCUGACCCCCAAGAUUCUCUAAUUAUUUUCUCGCACGUCUCCUCCAUCAGCCACCAUGCCUCGAAUUUGAAUUUUGUAGUUCUCUUGAAGAGUAUAUCUCCACAUGUGCUAAGAAGAAUUGGGCAAUGGUCGGAUAUUGUAUGAGUUAAAUGUUUAACACUUCCUGCCGAGAAAAGAGACCUCAAUUUGUCAUUAAUCAAUCCCCUGUCAAGUCUUUCUCUAAUAUUUGUUUCCGGCAAAUUACCCCUUUCCCAAGUAAACCACACUCCCGAGUAUCCCAAGCCCUCUAGUUGACAUUCUUCAAGUGUUUCUCGAAAGGCUUGCAUUCUACUCUCAUCUCUUUGUAAACCCCCAACUUUCUCAAAGGAAUACAUUAUCUCGUUAAAAUCACCCCCAACCAGCCAUGGGAAACCCUUGACUUGCCCCAAUUUCUUCAAUAGAUUCCACGGCUCACUUUUAUUUUUGACAUAAGGAUAUCCGUAGAACCCUGUGAAUCUCCACAGUUCCUUAACAUUCUCCUCUGUAAUCAAAACAUCAAUAUGAUUUCUCGAUAAACUUCGCAAGUCAACACACAAUUCUCCUUUCCAUGCUAAGCAUAAGACUCCUUUUGAACCGUCUGCUUCAAUAUCAAUUCUAUUUAAAAAACCGCAAUUACGUCUCACUCUCUCCAUCCUUUGUUUAUCAACUUUUGUCUCCAUCAAGAAGACCAUUUGGGGAUUAUGCUGCUUUAAAGAGUAACGCAGCCUCCGCCUAGCUCGUGGACUCCCCAAUCCACGAACAUUCCAACUUAAAAUUUUCAUUGCAUCCGGUCGGCUUGCCUAUUGGCAGCCGUCGCUUUCAAAAAACCCUGAAAAUCAGGUUGCUCAUAGUUGUCUACCUUCUCUUCCGAAAAGCCUUUAUCCCACUCGAUUGAAUCAUCAUGUUUCAAUCUUUUGAUUCCAACUCUAUCAGCAUUUUCUUCAUGACUACAUGUAAGAUCUGAACCAAAAGACUUCCUCUUCCGCACAUUAUUUUCAACUUCUUCAGUCAUGAUAUUGACACCUGAUUGAAUUCUUUCCCAGUUUGUCUUAUCCUUAUAUUGAAUGCGACUCUUUUGCCUGAAACAAGUCUCCGCCUCCUCAGCUUCUUUGUUCCCCAACAACCCAUCCUCCUUCUCAGUCAUCUCCUCACCCAGCAAUUCACCAUUAUCUUGAGACCCUUCCACCUUUGCAUUGGCACCUACACACCAUACUGUACUCUUUUGCGUCACAUUUUCUCCUCCAGUGUACGAACAUUGGACUCCCACCUUUUUUAUCAAAGUGUUAAAUUUAAUUUCUUUUCCUAAUAGCUUUGAUUCUGCUUUUAAAGCUAUCGAGAAAUGAGGAUUCUCACUGAUUUGGCUUUUUUUUUCAGGUGGUAACUAGAUACAAUUGCUCAGCCCAUGUCCCAUUCUCCCACAUCCAAAGCAAAACAUUGGCAAAUUUUCAUACUUAAAAGGGACCCACACUUUAUUAACAGCAUCCAUAGAAACAAAAAUACCUCUUCGGAGUGGUCUUUGGACGUCCAAGUUAACUCUGAGCCGACAAAAAUCUUCAUUAAUUUCAGAUCUGAGAACCCCACCAAACGAGGCACCAAUUGCAUGCAAUAAAUCUUUCUUAUCAAAUUCUGGAAAAUUAGGAUCAAUUUUCAUCCCAAACGGUGAUAAAGUAAGCCUAAUUUGAUCUCUAUCCAUCGGCUGAUUUAAUCUAUCAAAUAGAAUAACACUUUUGCGAAAAAUCUAAGGCCUCCCCUCCAAAAUCAACCGCAAAUCAUCCGCUAACUCAAAGGCUAUUGUGAAUAGAUUUUGACCCACCACCUGGAUCACAAACUUUUUCUUAGUCUUCCAGAUGCCUUUCAUAUGAGCCUUUAAACUUUCUGGAUUAUAGAGUCUCUCAGUCCAAACCGUACUUAUCAAUGUAGUUUAGAACUUGGCACAACCCUAGAUCUCUUUAUUGAUAGCAUAACUAAUUCUUCUGCGAGGAGCGAAAUCUCCUCCCCCCCUCUCGACCGUCACCACCGCUCUCCUCCAUCCCAAGCCACAACAAUUGUUGCCUUCUCCAGGAUUUUUAGCAAAGCACUCUUGGGGGUAGAGAGGGAUUUAGGGUUUUUUUUAUUAUUAAGUGGUUUUUUGUAUGCUUUAUUAAUGAAUAAAACAAUUACGAUCCUCUUUGGCUGAUCUUAUUUACAGGAACAUAAAUUUGAAACUAUAUAUAUUUAAAAACUUUUUCAAAGCCAAAUAACAAGAAAAAAAAAAGAUACUUUAGUAUUAUAAAUUUAUUAAUUAACUUAUUUAGAUCCCAAAAUUAUUAUUUUAGAAAAUAUUUAAAAUUUUAACUUUAUAUAUUCUUUAGAAUUUUUUGAAUUUUUUAUAAUUUUUGAAAAGUAUAAAUUUUGAAAUUUUUAUAAAUGUUUUGAAUUUUAAAAAUUAUUUUGAUUUUUUUUUUGUAAAUUUUGUUGAGAAAGAGAUCAAUUUGCUCAUUUUCAAAAUUGAUAGGGAUUAAAAGGAUAUUUACACCAAUCUAUUAUUUGAAUUAUUCGAAUUGUAAAAUUCAACUCGACUCGAAUUCAAAACUCAAAUUAUUUAUUCAAGUUAACUCGUAAAAAUCAAAAAAUUUUGUUCGAUUAAAUCAAAAUUUAAAUUCUUUUUUCGUUUUUUUUCAAAUUAAAUCGAAUUUUGCUACCAGCAAAAUAAUUAGUAGUAUGUCUUUUUUAAAAGAAAAAAAUAAGGAAAGAGACAUAAAAAAAGGUUAUUGGUGGGCAGUGGGCAGAAUAAGAGGCAUAAUGAGGUGACAGAAGGUUUUUAUUCGUUAUUUUCAACUAUAAAAUAGAAUAAUUAUAUAUGUCAUCUUUUUGUUGAUCACUUCUUUUUUUUCUUUACGUGUGUGGAUUUUCGUUGUCUCGUAAUACAAUUAAUCCUGGUUGAAAUAAGAAAUAAUUUAAAAUAAUAAAAUGUUAUUUAUUGUUAAAAAAAAAGAGAAUAGUUUAAAAUUACAAUGAAGAUUGUUGGAAAAGAGUUUUGACAAAUAAGGUUAAAAGAUAUUGGAGAUUUUAAGUUUUGCAUCAUAAUGAAUGAAGUUUGUGAAAGAGAAAAUAAAUAAUAGUUAUAUUUUAAGUUCAUCGAUAAUAAAAGUUUCAUACGUGCACGAUUCUUUGAUUUAGUCUAUAUAAAAGAAAUCCAUCAUUGGCUUUAGAGAAACACAGAUACUUGUAAUUUACCUUGAAUCAAAUGAGGCGUCUCUUACAGCAAAAAUACAAAAAAAGUAAAAAACUACAAUGGAAAGUCUUCUCAUUUCAGUUACCGUGAACCUGUAUUCCUUGAUAUCCUUGGGAUACAGUACAAAUGGAGGACACUGCUUUCCUUAGUUACAAAGGGAAUGGCUACGGCCCCCCAAGCAGAACCAUAGCAGAUGAAAAGGAGAUGAUGAUCCAACUGUUUCAUCAGCAGCAUUGUCCCAAAUUUAUCAGCAUAUCGGAUAACGAAAAGAAUCAAUAGAAUCCAUGAUGGAAAUAUGAUGUCUGGUAACUAUAUUGCUACUUGUUUUGGUUGGGGACAGCCGGCUACCGCGGCGAUUAAGCUAAGCUGGUUGGCGAUCACCUUCUGCUUCUAAAUCUCCUCUUUAAGAACAUGUCGUAACUGGACCUUCUGUGUUUCCGUUCUUGCCUCCAAAAGUUUUUCCUUCAAACUAGUUGGCUGUGCACUGCAAGACCAUUCGCUGCACCUUUUCGUUACUGGUGGAUGAGUAGAGUCUGGUGAACUCCAUUGUCCCAACAUUUCCGAGGGACUGAAACCACCUUUAACGGACCAUUUAUCCAGGGACAUAAUACUCCAAUUAGACUUCCUUCCGGUUGAAGGCCUGCAGUUUGUUCCUUCUACCGAGAUUGUCUUGUAUUUUUCUCCAUUGUUUGGACAUGAUCUCCAAAGCUUUGCCAUGGAUGACACCUUCUUAAACUGUCUAGCAGGCAAAGAACAAACUUCGCUAAAUUCCGUGGUUGGGGUAUCCCGACAUGUAUUAUCUUCCCAUUCAGUUCCACUACCCGAGAAAUAGCUGUGCCAAGGAUUCUUGUUUACAGAUGCAGUACUCCCUUGUUGUGAAUAACUCGAGCUCUGGUACUCGACAUCGCUGACAGUUUCCCACCCACUUUCGUCUUCUUCUAUCUCAACAUUUGCAUUUGAAUGUCUCAGAAUGCUGCCUUUUUUUAUCAUACUCAUUCGAGGACUCGCCAUUUGAAUUUCUGAGGCAUAGCUAGCAGUACUGUAUGCGACACAGGGUUCGAUAUCCGUUUCAGUGGCUUCAGCUGAAGCUACCUCUUCAAAAACAGCAAAAAUGUCAUCCGGGUUUUGGGGCUCAUAUGUGAAUUCCUUAAUUUCUUGGACAUUAACCGAGGCAGCACCCUGUCUAAGCGAUUCUGCUUCUCUCAUGUCAUUCGCAUCCCGAGUUUCGGUCCUUGACCUUAGAAAAUUCUCCAAAUCUGCUACAAGCUUGUUCAUCUGUGAAUACCUCUUUUCGAGCGCUACCUUCGCAUCGAUGAGUUUCAUCUGAACACGUUCUUCACGCCAGACUUCAACCAUCUGCAGCAUCUUUCUUUCCUCAUCGACUACCUUUCGAAGCUUCAUGGAAUAUCUCCUUAGUGCUUCCACUUCAGCCUUGUCUUCUCCAAUUUCCUUACAAAGCUCGUCACAUACUUCUUCAAUUAGUUCUCUGGACUUUCUUUCUUUUUCGUAGUUCUGCAUAUAUUGCUUGGCCGAUAACUUGGCAGCAGCCAGCUCAUUCACCAAUUUGGAAUUAACAAUUUCGAGCCUCUGGCGAUUCUUUUUUUCUCGAUUCAAGUUAGCUUUGACAUCAUCAACAAACACACGUAUUUUUUCAUGCUCUCUGCUCCUCCACUCAGCCCUUUCCUCACUAACUUUCCUCAACAAGUGCUCGAGUUUCUUCUUUGAGGACCGGCAUUCAGUCUCAAGCUCAUCAGUGCGAACUCGAGCCUGCUCUAAUUCAGCUUCAAGGGCAGAAACAGUUGAUACUGCAGUUACUCGUUGGUCAAUAUGCUUCAUACGGCUGUAAGUUUGCCGCACCUCAUUUGUUGGUUUCAAGCAGACAGGAUCCCACUUUGUCGCUCCCUCCAUCGCAGAGUUCAAAUAUGGGAUUGAAGACUCAAUCUUAAAUGGAAAAAGAAACAGCUUAAGGUCAGAAGAGUAAAUAACAAAUUCCACUUCCAGAAACCAUCAAAUGUGCAACAUGACCGAGAUGAAAAAGGCUUCGUUUCGUAUGCAUUCGAUGUUUUCACAUAUUGUUCAGUUCAAAAGUUCAAGAUUUGGGUAAGGAGCUCAUAGAAGCAGGCAUACCUUGUGCAGGAGACCAUUUUCUGUGCCAAAGACUGAAGCCGGGCUCCGUAACAGAUCCUUUGCUGUUGAACCAUGAAUUUCAUCCUCGUGAAGUACCGGGACACCCGUAAAAUCGUUACCGCCCUGCAGGAAAUUAAGACAUAAUGAACUAAAAAAUGUUCAAACAUGAAUCAAAUUACAUCUAAUCAAUGAAAAUGCAAGAAAGAAAAGAAGUAACUAACAAUAAAAACAGAGCCAAAAGCAUAACUAUCAGAAGCGAUUUAAACAAACUAUCAAACUGUAUUCAUUGAGAAUCAAGCAGAUUGUAAAUACCAAUGGACGGUGUAUCCCUUUAUCAAGAAAAUAUCCAUAAAAUGCGUCAAAAAAGCAAGUAAUGGAAGCUUCAUUUUCUUUGACAUUCAAGCAUAAUCCAAGGCAUUUUGAAGAUCAAUAAUAAAACAAUGAACAAUGAUGGGAUUGUAAAGAUCAGCAUCAAAUAUAAGUAACCAAUUAAACAAUUUUAGCAAGAAAAAGAGAAAUCAUAAAACAUAAGAAAAAGAAAAAUCAUAAAACAUACUUUCGAUCAAAUUACAUUGUUAUUAUUAUAACAGAAGGCUAUAAACAAGAAAAAAAAACCAUUAAAGCAUAGAUCUUGGAGCCGCAAAAAGGUUAAAAAUCUCACUUUGAUUCCCAACUGACCCCUCUUCCUCUCUCCGCCACCAGGAAUCGCCGUCUCCGGCAACUGCAACCUCCACAAUCCAGCUGCAAGUUUCCUCGCAGACACUGUCGAAGUCCCUUUCCUCCGUCUUCCCUCACCACUAGCCUCUUUAUCCUCGAGCUCCUCCUCAACUCCGCCGCCGUCCUCUUCCAUGUUCCAUUUAAACAACGGCGUUUGCGGCCUGCUCCGCCUCCCUACCACCGACCUGCACCUCCUGUUCCGCGUUCUUUGCUUCGUCUUCGGCUUGAGAUUCACGUCCCUUGGAUUCAUACCCGAAAACAUCGCUUGUAAACUAGCUUCCCUCAUCAUAUUCUUCAUCCCUCUUCCAUCAACAUUCCAAAACAACAAAACCCAACUUUUCCUUCAACUUUUUCAAGAAAAUGAAAACAACCCAAUGCAACAAUAACGAUGAUUUUGUAAAUUUAGUGAACUGUGUAAAUAUUGAGUGGGAAAAAUAAAAGAGAGAAAGCUGAGCUGAGAGGGAGCGUGUCUAUGUUUUUCUUUUUCCUCUUAACGGAUAUCAUAUGUGCUGCGUGCAUAGGAAUACCGAAUUUUUAUACACUCAAAACGUCUCAUGGGAAUUCGGAGCACGAUACGACGACGUAACGUCGGCUCAACUUGGCUACAUUGUCAUAUCAUAUUAUAUUUUAAUUUUGGAUUAAAUUUUAAAUUAGCUUUCUAAGUUUUAAAACAUUCAAAUUAAAUCCUUAAAACUAAAAUUAUUUCAACAUGUAUGUUUGAAAAAAAAAAAGAAUCUUUCAGAUCUAAGCUGACAUUUAACAUCGAAAGGAUCGUAUUAGAACAAUACUUUAGUUUGAGGAUUUAAUUUGAACAUUUUAAAAUUUAAAGACUAAUUUAAAAUUAAACCUGUAAUAUAGGGAUGUUUGGUGAAAUAAACGCUAUCACAUUUAAUAUUAACGUAAUGGAUUGAGAGAGACGUUGUAGAUAUAUACUUUUUAAAUAGAGGGAAUUAAACUAUCUUAUUUUAGAUGGUUGGUCAAUAUUUAAUAUUUAGGGAAAAAUUUUUGGCAGAUUAUGGCUUUUUUUUUAGUAUAAGGUUCAUUAGCUACAUAAAUUUGAUAUUAAAAUUUUAAAAUUACAAUAUUGUUGUUAGUGUAAGAGGACGUGAAUUCAAGUAUGUUGAAAUGCAUUAUCUUCUUAUUUAAGGGUUAGGAAGAGACAUUAUACAAAUAUAUUAUAAAGUGUUUUAAAAUUUUUUUAAAAAAAUUAUAUAAAUAAAUCUGACACUAGUCACACCCUCAACUUACCUGUAAAAUCUAAAAACCUCUAUAUUGAAUAAUUACUCAAUUUUUAAUUAUUUAUAGUUAUUAUAAAACUUUUACUUAAAUUGCGUCACGCGUUACUAAACAUCAACUUAAUUGAAAAAAUGUAAUAUACCUUAUCAUUUAAAUGAUGAUGGUGUUUAGACCUGGUCAUGGGAUGAAUCAAGUUUAGCCAAGAUUUAAGCAAAAUUUUAGGCCUAAGUCUUACUCGAAAAAUGAACCUAAAAUUAUGUCUAAACCCAAUCCAGAUUAAAAAUGUUAAACCCGAUCCUGACUUGAUUCGCACGUAUUAAAAAUUUUUAGAUUAUUUUUAUAUAAAAAUAAAUUUUAAAAAUAUAAUACAUCAAAUACACUAAAAGUAUUAAAAUAAAUGUUUCUAUAAUAAUUAAAAAUACAUUAAAAAUCUUUAUAUUAUACUAUCUAAAUAAUAACAAAAGAAUAGUAAUAAUAUAAUAGCAAAAUGGUAACAAAAUAAUAAUAAUAUAAGUGCAACUAACUUGUAUUAAUUAAAUGUAAAAAAAUAUAUUACUUUCUUAAUUUUCUUAUUUGUCAUGAAUCAUGCAUCAUGAUCCAAUUUCAAAUUUUUUAAUUUUACGGUUCAUAUAUUGAUUAAAUAUUAAAUAUAUAUUUUAAAUUAAAUUUAAAUUAAAAUAUUUUUAUUGUUUAAAUUAAAUUCUAACACAUAAAAAAAAUUCAUUUACGGCCAUCAUGGACACGCGGCUAGCACAAAUCAUUCUCUCUAGUUUUAUUUAACUGUCCGUAUCGUCCUUUCUGAGUUCUGAUUCUAUGCAGGUGCAUGUUAACAAAAAUGGAAAUAUGCUCAUUUUCCCCAUAAACUUCUACACUUUCAAGUUCCUAAAGAUCAAAAGCAGCCUCAAAAUGUGAUUUUUCUUUUCUUUUUUGAAAAUUUUCAACACUAAACAAUGGAGAUUCAUUCACCACCACCACCAGACACCAUUGUUGAAGAGAGGGAAGAGCAUAUGGUUUCACCAAAUGGUGGACACAUUACAAUAAGAAAAGCCCAUUUUCUAAAACCCACCGACACUUCAAGCAAUGGGAAAGUUUCUGAGCUUCCUCAACAUUGUCUUUCCCCAAAACCCUUCAUUUAUGACCUCAAGGACUUGUCUGAAAAAGGUGUUGUUCAAAGGCUGGAAACGUCCAACACAGAAGUGGGAAACAUGGGUUCAUAACAUGCACGGCAAGUAUCAAGCUUUAUGGGAACAAGUUGGUAUUUACAAGGCAAUCCCGAGUUCCAGGUAUCAUAUCAAACAACACAAGGAACUUGUUCUUGGUAUUGUUGAAAAAUGGUGUCUUGAGACAUACUUUUGUUUUUCCAUGGGGUGAAGCGACCAUAACUUUGGAAUAUGUUAUGGUCUGCUGGGGCUUUUCUGUUCUUGGUGAAUCUGUUUGAAGCCCUUUAAAGACUAAACAACCGGUUGAAGUUGAAGAGAAGCUAAUUAAAGGGCGCAAAGAGGCUGCAAGAGGGAGAUGCAUGUUUGCUUCGCCUAAAGAUUGGAUGGACUAUUUCAUGGGAACUGGACAUAAGCUAGAACAUGAAGCAUUCCUUUCUUUAUGGUUAUCCAACUUUGUUUUUGUGACAUCUACUUCAAUUCAUUAUGUGGGGAGGCAUGUUUUUCCUAUCGCAAUUCAUUUAGCUAGAGGUAACCGGGUUGCUCUUGCACCAGCAGUUUUAUCUAGAAUUUAUAGGGGCUUGUGUUGGUUUAAGGAUCGAAUCUUUUGCUCACUUAUGGUGCAAACUAAUGAGUUGGUUAAUGUUUAUAUACCAUUUCAGUUAGUGCUAGUUUGGGUUUGGGAAAGGUUCCUGGGGUCAAGGCCAAUGCCUAACUCAAUAUCAUAUGAUGAGCCAAGGAUAGCAAGAUGGCAUAGGCUUAAGGUGAAUGUUAGUGAUAUAAAGUUACCCAUAAACUCUGUAGGGAAAAGUUUUCAAUGGCGGCCUUAUGCUAUAGCAAUUAACGGAUGGUCUGUGCCAAAGUUUUAUGGUGAUGAUACUCAUUUAAAUGAAGAUAUUCAUUCAUUUGCUAGAUGUUUGAGGGUGAAUGAGCUUGUUGGACUAGAAAGCAUAGAGCAAUACCUUCCACAACGAGUUUCGAUGCAGUUCGAAAUGGACCAAGAUCUUCCAGGAUGUUUUGCUAGAUGCACUGGAAAUCCUGAUAUUGCUUAGAGGAAUUACAGCAGACCGAUUCAAGAUUUGGUGUUGUAUAUACUGAAAGUUCUUAAUUAAGAGAAAUUUUAAUAAAACUGUUCUAUGUUUUAUUCACUAAAGAAUUGAACUUAAAUAGAGAAAAGAGUCCUAAUCCUAAUUGGGAAGAUAAUUCCCUUAUUCUAAUCAACUACUAAAACAUAAGCGAAAAUAAUUCCCUGAUUCUAAUAAACUACUAAAAGAUAAAAUAAAAUAUUUCUAGAAUAUGAAUAAAACUUAUCUACCUAAAUAAGAUUUAUCUACCUAAAUAAAUUUAAAAUAUAUACAUAUUUCAACACCCUCCCUCAAGUUGGUGCAUAUAUAUCAAUCAUGCUCAACUUACUUACAAGAAAAUCAAAGAUUGUCUUAGAGAGCCCUUUGGCGAGUAUGUCAACAAUCUGUUGUUUUGAAGGAACAAACGACAUGCAUACUUGGCCUUCUUCAACCUUCUCCUUGAUAAAGUAUCUAUCAAUCUCAACAUGUUUAGUUUUGUCAUGCUAGACUGGGUUGUGAGCAAUACUAAUAACAGCUUUGCUAUCACAGUACAACUUCAUUGGUGAAGUUAUUGGUUUCCUUAGCUCUUCCAUAAUUCUUUUUAACCACAUCAUUUCACAAAUUCCUUGAGCCAUUGAUCUAAACUCAGCCUUUGCACUACUUCUUGCUACAACACUUUGUUUUUUACUUCACCAAGUCACAAGGCUUCCCCAAACAAAUUUACAAUAUCCUGAUGUAGAUAUUCUAUUUGUUAUUGAGCCUGCCCAAUCUUCAUCCAUAUAAGCUUUAAUUCUUUUUUGUUCAGAUUUCUUGAAGAAUAAGCCCUUUCCAAGUGAACUCUUCAAGUAUCUUAGAAUCCAAAACACUGCUUCUUCAUGUUCCUCCAUUGGGGAGUGCAUAGAUUGACUCACUAAGCUCACUGCAAAAGCUAUGUCUGGCCUUGUAUGUGAUAAGUAAAUUAACUUAUCAACUAAUCUUUGGUACUUCCCUUUAUCAACUAAUCGACAUUCUUUAUUUAUGAAUUUUACAUUUGGAUCAAUUGAUGUGUCAACUGGGAGCCUUUUUUAAAAUAUCAAUCACAUAUUUUUUUUGAGAGACCACAAGACCCUUCUUUGAUCGAGCAACUUCCAUUCCAAGAAAGUAUUUCAAAGGACCUAAGUCUUUAAUCUCAAACUCCAAUACUAGAUGCUCCUUGAGACGCCUUAUUUUAUCCACAUCAUCUUUUGUAAGAAUGAUAUCAUCGACAUAAACUACAAUAACUGCUAUUCUACCUUUUUGUGAAUGUCAAUAGAACAUUGUGUGAUCAGCUUACCCUUGUGAGUAACCUUAUUUUUUAACAACUUGAGUGAACCAUUCAAACCAAGCUCGAAGAGACUGCUUUAGACCAUACAAAGAUUUCUCGAGUUUACAUACUCGAGUUCCAAAGUUUUCUUCAAAACUUGAAGGAGGAUCCAUAUGUAAACUUCUUCUUCAAGUUUCCCAUUUAGGAAAGAAUUUUUCACAUCUAGCUGCUAUAAAGACCAAUCAAGAUUAACAACGAUUGAUAAAAGAACUCUAACGGUGUUUAAUUUGGCUACUGGAGCAAAUGUUUCAAGAUAAUCUAUCUCGUAUGUUUGAGUGUACCCUUUAGCCAUCAAUCGGGCUUUGUAUCUAUCUAAAGAUCUAUCUGGUUUAAAUUUGGUUGUGAACACCCAUUUACAGCCUACUGUUUUUUUCCUACAGGUAAUUCCAUUAUUUCCCGUGUACCUGUUUUUUCAAGAGCGCGCAUCUCCUCUAAAAUAGCCUCCUUCCACUCAAGAUAAAUCAUCUUUCACAUUUUUGGGUAUUUUCACAGUAUUGAGGCACGAAACAAAGGCUGAGAAUGUCGAAAAUAAGGCUUUAUAGGAUACAAAGUUAGACAUGGGAUAUUUGGCAAUAUUUCUAACACAUUUUCUUUUAGCAAUUGGAAUAUCUAAAUUAAAAAAUUCAUUGGCAGGAUUAUGAGCUUUACUUGGACUUUUGACAAGAUCUUGCAGGUUUGAUUCUUGGUGAUGAAUCUGAUGGAUUCCACUUUCUUGAUUUCGAUUUCUUCUUGAGUAAACAAUUAACUCCUUUGUUUGUUCUUUAUUCUCAUGAUCAGACUCUACACCUUCAUACUCCUUUUUAUUAACAACAUUAACAUCAUUAAUUUCUGUGUUAAUCAUAAAUUCUCCUUCCCCAUUAUUAGAAUCCCUAUGUUGUAUAUUCCUAGUAUUUUCUUUAUCAAUUAUAGAAUCUUCCUUACUAUAAUUCCCUCCCUGAAGAUUAUAAUCAAAAUAAGAUUGCGUUUCAACAAAUGUGACAUCCAUGGUAACUAUAAUCUUCCUAUCAAUUGGAUCAUAACAUUUAUAACCCUUUUUAUUAGAAGCAUAGCUAACAAAGACACAUUUUUUUGCUCUAGGAUCUAGUUUACCUUGGUUGUGAAUAUGAACAAAAACACUACACCCAAAAACUCGGAUGGAUAAAUUUGUGAUCAAUUUAAAGUUAGGAAAGUUAUCUUUAAAAAGGAGAAAAUGAGUUCUAUAGUUUAGAGUUUUACUGGCAUUCUAUUAAUAAGAUAUGUAGCUGUUAACAAGGCUUCGUCCCAAAGAUAACGUGGUACUUGACUAGUGAACAUCAAGGCUCUAAUUACUUCCAAAAGAUGUCGGUAUUUUCUUUCUGCAAUACCAUUUUGUUGUGGUGUAUUUGUACAAGAACUUUGGUGGACUAUUCUAUGUUUCAUUAAGAAACCAUCUAAUUGGUCACUAAAAAAUUCCCCACAAUUGUCACUCCGAAAUACUUCUAUUUUCACACCAAAUUGUGUUUUCACCAUAGCAUAAAAAAGACUGAAACACAUUUUUAAAUUCAGACUUAUCUUUUAAUAAAAACACCCAACAAAUAUGAGUAUGAUCAUCAAUAAAUGUGACAAACCAACAUUUUCCUAAAAAAGUUGAGACUCUUGAAGGUCCCCAAACAUCACUAUGAAUUAACGAAAAAUGUUUGGAGGCUUUAUAUUUUUGAGGUGGAAAGAAUGACCGAUGAUGUUUAGCCAAUUCACAAAAUUCACAGUGAUAUGAAAGACUUUUAUUUUUAAAUAGAUUAGGUAACAAAUAUCUUAAAUAGUGAAAAUUAGGAUGUCCAAGCCUAUAAUGCCAAAUCAUAACCUUAUCAAAAUCAGAAACAGAAUUUAAACAUAAAGUAGUUGUUAGUUGACUUAGAUGGUCGUCGUCAAGAAAGUAAAUUCCACCAAAUUCUUUAGCAUUGUCAAUCAUCCUCCCUGAGACCAUGUCCUGAAAUUUACACAUAGAGGAGUCAAAUAUAACAUGACAAUUCGAGGACUGGGAUAAUUUACUAACCGAUAUGAGAUUACAAACUAGAUUUGGCACAUGUAAGACAUCAUGUAAAACCAAGGAAGACGAAAUUUUAACAGUGCCUUUUCCAGCUAUUACCGAGAACGACCCAUCUACUACUUUGAUA
rnacentral:lncRNA from 1 species